GAGAUCUCCACUGGAAUUUGGCCAUGGAAACAUGAGCUUGAAAGGUUGAGAUGAGUUAGAUUUUGGAGUUUAUCAAACCCAUAGGAAAACAGAGUGGUAUUAAAGUUGUUUCCAGCAAGAUUCAGGUGUUGAAGAUGAUGGAGAUCGAAUAUGGAGUGGAAGCUGCCUGAAAGGUUUUUGUAACUAAGAUCAAUGCCAACGACAUGACCAUAAGCAUCACAAGUGACUCCUUCCCAAGAACAACAAUCAGUGUUGACAUCCCAGAGGUCAAAAUUGGAAGAGAAAGUAAAAUUAGGGGCACAGUAAAGAUGACGCUGCAAUUGCAGCAGAGGAGCUCUCUGGUCAUCAAGGCAUUGCUGAGGGAGAUGAGUUUGAGGAGGUGAAAAAGACAAGACAAGAGAAAGGAAGCAUGAGAAGAGGAAGGGUGAAAUAAGGAAAUGAAGAGUGUUCAUGUUGGUUGGGUGUGAAGAAGGAUUGUGCUUGGCAUACAACUUAUUUAUACACAAAUGUGUAGUUUUCAUGUUUGGCAUAUAACUUAUUUAUUAUUAGUAUUAUUAUUAUUAUCCCAUGCUUGCAAAGGUUGACCAAAAAGACUUAACUAAAGUGGUGGAACAUUAUUUUGAUGCAGUAUUGAUUGGGCAAAAAGACUUCGAAAUUGCAUGCUAUGCCAAACAUGAAAACUACACAUUUGUGUAUAAAUAUUAGACAUAUUAGAGGGAUUGAAACUGAAAUUUAACAUUUUAUUGUAAAUUUUUUUUUUAAAAAAAAGAUAAAGGAAAGGAAAGGAAAUAAAUUAUAGAUUAAAUCUCAAAUUUAGGCAUAUUAAAGAAACUAAAUUUUAAAUUUUUUUGUAAAAUGUAAAAUUAAAAAAGAAAAGGAAAAAUGAUUGGGUAUGCGACAUGUAAAAAGAAAGAAGGUCGAAACCAAUUUUUAUAUAUAAGUAUAUAGAUUAUAUAUAAUUAUUCUUACAUAAUUUAAUUUUUUUAAUAAAAAUUACUAUUAAAAUCUUUUAAUUAAAUUUUGGUAUAACACCCAAAAGAAUUAAUUUAUAUACCAAACUAAUUUAUAAAUGAGUACUUUUAAGUCCUAAUUUAUGAAACAGUACCAAACUUAUAAAUAUGCUAUGACCUAUUGAAGGGUUUAAUUAAAUUUAACACCCCAAAUUAUAAGUUGCAUCAUUCUAAAUUUAUCUCUAAACUUCAAAAACUUUUAACUAAAUAAUAGUAAAAUAUAUUGUUGGUCUUAGUCUUAGUUUUAAUAUUUGGGAUUGCAAGCGAAUUUCUAAGUCUUAGUAUAAGAAUAGAAUGUUAUUAACCUUAGUCAUGAAAAUAAUGUUUCUACCACUUUUCUUAACUGAUUGAGAGACAUUGAUGGGUCAAAGACUAAAUUUUGUUGGUGACUUCUCAAUGAACUUGUCCAAGUGUAUCAAAUCAAUAGAAACACAAUGAAACUAAAUAAUGGUUUGGUUUGAGGAAAAUAUAAGCUAUUCUUAGUCUUUGCUUUCAUUUGCACAAUGUUUGGCACUUUUCUUAUCAUAUUUGAACUUCACUCCAUAUGUUUGCUUUCAAUUUAAAACCAUAUUUAUUAUGUGGAUUAAAUCAUAGUAUUGUUAUUCAAAUUUAAAAUAAAGAAAUUAUUUCUCAAGGUAUCUAGUUGGUAAGUAAAUAUUUGCAUUUUGUUAGCCCAUUUACAGAGUAGAUGCCAUAGUUUUAAAAGUUGCUUCACAAUUAAGCCGAGGAUCGAAUCCUCGACCACGGAUUAAGGUAAGAAAGACUCUUACCAUCUCAUCUAACUCUAGUUAUUAAAAUUAAAAUUAAUUUGAAUACCAUAAAUUCAAAUAUUAAUAUUUACAUCUAUUCCAAAUUCAUUAUACAUAAUAAUUAAAAUAUUCAAAUCUAAAUAUUAUCAAAAUUCGUACUCUGGUGAUUAAAAUAUUUGUAUCCUAUUAGUCAUAUUAAUUAUGAUAUUUUCGUCAUUUUGCUUCAUCUUUAUUCUAUUAUGAUAUUUUCAUACUAUUAAUCAUAUUUGAUGUUCGCGAUUUAUUGAUAUAAAAUUUUUAGACAUUAAAUGAUGUUAUUAUUCUAAAUAUAUGCAAGCUCGACUUUGAAGUCCAACCUAUUUUAAACAUCUUUCCUUGUUGAUUGUGGAGAAUGGACCGUGAUUGCAUUGAAAAUACCAUUGAAGAAUAAUAAUUAAAAUAAUCAUAUUUUAUACUAUAAAAUAUUUAUUAUUGAAUAUUUAUAAAUUAUAUAUAUUUUUCUCAUUAAAAUAUCAAUAUAAAUAUUUUUUAAUUAUAUAUUAAGAAUAUUAUUUAAAAUUAAAUUAAAUUAUUAAAAUUUAUUAAUAAAAUAAAAUUAUAAUAUUAAAAUUAAAAAUAUAUUAUUAAUAUAAUUAUAUUAAACUUGAUUCAAAUUAAUUUUGUAUAUAAAGAUAAAAAUAUUCAUAAAUAAGCUUUGUUCGAUAAAUUAAUUACGUUUUCCAAAAAGUCAAAUUAAUUUACAGAAAAAUGAUAUUAUUUAAAUUUCCAUACUAAAAUACUUUUAAAUUUAAUUAAAAUUAUCAAAGACGAAUGAAAUUCAUGAAAUUAAUUUAACAACUUUUCAAUUUUUCGAAAAAAUCAAUUUGAUUCUUCUUCUUUUUUCAAAAUUUAUCAAGCCAAUUGAAACACAAAAAAAUUUAAUAUUUUUAAUUUUUGACUGACAAAAAAAAUGAUACUAUGAGAUAUUUUUUAUAUUAUUAGACCUAAUCUUAAUCUUUGGCAUUCCAUGCAAAUGUCUAAAUCUUUUUGCCCCUUUACUACGGCAUUAAAACAAUGUUUAGCAAAUUUCUUAGGGAGAUGGAUUGAUGGAUAUAAGUAGUGGAAAUUUUGAUGAUACAAUUCUUCUCUUCUUAACAAUUUCUUUCAAAGAAACAUAUUUAAAUUUCCACACCGAAACUUCUUUAAUUUAAAGGAAUAAAUCUUAAAAUUAUAAACUAUGUGUUAAUGUGUAAUUGUAUACAUGAAUUUUGAUUUUAUGCAAUGUUAUACAUGAAAUUUUGAUUUGAUUCAAUUCUUGUAAUUUAUUAACACAAUUAUUGAUAUAACAACAUUUUAUGUCUAUAUAUUGUAUACAUAAAUAAUUAUAUUUAUCUAAUAUAAAAAUAAAUUGAUGUUUUUAUUUCAUUAAAUGUGUAUGAUUAAAUCAAAAUUAAAAUUUGAAUUAUACAUUUGAACCACAAUUAGAGUUCCACGUGUAUGAUUACACCAAACUAAAGUUCAUAUAUAUAAUUGCACAUUAAAUUAAAGUUUAUAUAUAAUUUUAAGUUUUAUCCCUAUUUGAAAUUAUCAAAGACAAAUGAGAUUAACGAGAUGUAUUAUAUUAUAAACAAAGUUCGAUUCUUUGAAAAAGUUAAGCUCCAAUUUCAGAAGUUUUUUUUUCCAAAGUUUAUCAAACGAAUUCAAACACUAUGAGAUUAAACAACAUAUAAUUUUUUAAAUCUAAAAUAUGGAUUUUUUUUCUUUUUUAAAUCUAAAGUCAGUUCCAAUUUUCUAGUGUUUUAGAUUGUUUACUAACACUAAAAAGCACACCACAUUGUAAGGCAUCAUUUCUUUCAUUGUAUUUUUUUUUUUACGUAGACACCAAAAUUUCAUCGGGAUACAAAUCAGCACUUUGUGGUAAACUCAAUUUAACUCAAUUUUAAUUGUAGCAAAGCUUUUAACCGGGGGCUCUUUUUCCACCAUUUUUCUUCUAACACUUUCGGCUCCCAGCACUCUGGAGGCAUCCUCCAUCACUGAACAUUCUUCACUCACCUUCAUCAUUGCCACCACCAACCACAUCAGCAUCAGAAUCAACAUAAUCAUCUUCAUCUCAGUCACCUCUCUCACCUCUAACCCAUACCAACAUUUUUAGGGUACAAAAUUGUGCUCCAAGACACAAGCAUAGUGACACCUGAGAAUCAUCCAAUUCAUCUUCAUGUAUACGAUUUCUAUAUCAUUGCACAACGUUUAAAGAACUUCGAUCCUAAAAGGGAUACUUCUAAAUUCAACCUUGUUGAUCCACCUGUGAGGAACACCGUUGGAGUGCCUGUGAAUGGAUGGGCAACCAUCAGAUUCGUCGCUGAUAAUCCAGGUAAACACCCUUCUUCAUCAUUUCAAUUACUGUGAUUCCAUUACCAAUUUUUUACUUGUUAUUAGUAUUUUUCUUAAUCAUUUUCAUAGUAUUGUGGCAUACCAAUUCUUCCCUGCAUCUGGGAAACUAGUUUAAUGCUCUGUUUCAUUGGAUAAAUUUCCCUAAAAAGUAUGUGUACAUUGUAAUAAUAGUGUGAGAUAGUGUCGGCCUUUGGCUAACAUUGGAAAACAUACUAGAUUGUAACACAAAAAUUCUUUCAUUAUAUUUUAAUUAUUAUUAUCAUAUUAUUACAUACAAAGUUUAAUUGAAUGGUAAUUUUUAACGUAAUAAUAUUAUCAUUGAAAGGAUAAAUAGACUAAUAUAAAAACAAGUGUCAAGCUGCACUAAAACCCGGACCAACGGGUCCACCCUUUACACCCAGACCUAAAGCAUAAGACGUGAUUGAAAAAUGCUUGUAGUCAUAAGAAACUAAUUACCAUUUUCUUCAAAGAUAACGUACCUCCUGACUGGAUAUUCCAUGUCCUGUGCAUUGCUAAAUGAUACAUAAAAUUACAAUAGAAUCUGGAAAAUGAAUGUCAAUGCUACGAGUAGGAUAUGAUAGAGAAAUUUACUUUUCAACAACUAUAUAUAUCAACUACCUUUUCAAAUUAGAAAGACUAAUGCUUAAUUAGACUAAUGCUUAAUUACCAGCUAAUUUUGAAACAAGAAUUCUGAUGGAGUCACCUACACCUUACCUUAAACAUGAUAAUGCUGGCAAUUAUGGUGAACGUUGUGAACAUGACAUAGUAAACAGGACAUACAACAGUAGUAUGAAAAGUGUCUAAAGCAUGCAAAAUUGUAAGCUUUUAGUAGCAUCAAGAAUAAUAACAACUUAAAUUUAGAGUCAAUCAUCAUAUUAAAUCAAGAAUAUAAGUUGAAAGAAAUUAUUUUUUUAAAAAACACAUUUAUGCUUUUUUAUCCUAUAAGCAAUUUAAUAAUGAACAAAUUGAUCUCUCAACAAAAAUUACAAAAUAUUUCAAAAUAGUUUUUAAAAUUCAAAAUAUUUAUAAAAAAAUUAAAUUAUAUUUAUUUUUUCAAUUGUAAGAAUAUUUUUAUUAUUUUGUUUUGAAAAAGUUUUCAAAUGUAUAUAGUUUUAAAUUUAUGUGCUCUAACAUUGAAUUAGUUAUCCUAUAACAAGAUUUUAAUUUGACAUAUUUAAUUUUUUAAUUGAACUUGAAUAAUUUCACUCGAUUCAAUUUGACUCGAAUUUUAUUUCACUCGACUCAAUUCGAAAAAAUGUCAAAUCAAGUUAGGAUGAUAAAUAGGACUCAUUAGUUCAAUUAACUCAAAAAAUUUUCACUUGAUUCGAUUAAACACUCAUAAAAAUCAUCAAAAAUAAAUGAGACGGAGAUAAUUUGCUGAAGGAUAAGAUGAAAUGUGUUUUAGAAAUUAACAUUUUUUUUCUUUGGCAUGCAAGCUAAUGUUCAAGUCUUUUUACCCAAUAAUGAGUACUCCUAAAUCCAACUUAUAAAUAUGUUAUGAUCUACCAACGGGCUUAAUUAAAUCCAACACCCCAAAUUAUGGGCUCAACUCUAAAUUCAAGAUUUGGCAUUGCAUGCAAAUGUCUAAGUCUUUGCCCGAUCCUUACUAGAUGAAAACAAUGGUUUACCACUUUGUUUAAGUCAAGUCAUUAUAAACACAAAAAUAAAGCAUUUGUGUUAGCUGGUUGAGAUGGAUUGAUGAGUGAAAAUUAUGAUGACCACACAAUUUCUGCGAAACUUCGAUUGGUACAAAAUAAGUGCGAGGCUGUACCAAAACCCAACAUGUGUUUGAUAAAAUAAAAACCCAAUGUGUCAGCAAAAGGUGGGAGUAGCAGCAGCAGCUGUCUCUUUACACAAUCAGUACAAUGUCCAUCAGAUAUGGCUUUCAUGUUUGCUGGCUGUGAAGGAGGAUUGUUUCCAUACAACUUAUUUAUACACAAAUUAGUUCUUUCCAUACAUUAUUUUGAAUUUUGGACUAAGCCCGAUCACUACUGCAUCAAUGUUGUACCACUAACUUUAUUUUGGUCAAUUAAUAAAAAAAAAUGGAAUUGUGGUGAUUUUUUUUAGCUGAUUGAGAUAAAAUGAUGGCUCAAAGACUAAAUUUUCUCAUAACUUUGAUGACUUUUCAAUGAACUUAAAGUGUAUGGAAUCAAUAGAAAUUUAUGGAAUGAGAUAUUAUUGGACUUAGUCUUAGCCUUUUGGCACUGUAUGCAAAUGUCUAAAUCUUUUUUACCCCAUCAAAACAAUGUUUAGCAAGUUUCUUAUGUAGUUGAGAUGGAUUGAUGGGCACAAGUAGCGGAAAUUUUGAUGAUAAAAUGUUUACAAUUUUCCUCUUCUUAGCAAUUUCUUUGAAAGAAACAUAUUUAAAUUUUCACAAUAAAAUUUCUUUAGAUUUAAUUGAAAUUAUCAAAGAAAAAUGAGAUUGACAAGAUAUCUUAUAUUAUUAACAAUUUUUCGAUUCUUUCAAAAAAUUAAUUUCAAUUUCAAAAGUUUUUUGAAAUUAAUAGAACUAUCAUUGAAAGGAUAAACAAACUAGUAUAAAAAUAAGUGUCCGGCUGAACUAAAACUCAGACCAACAGGUCCACCCUUUACACCCGGUCCUAAAGCCCAACACGUGAUUGAUAAAAUAUAAAGCUAAUAUCUGUUUGGAAGAGCAAAGGAUGAGAGUAGCAGCAUCUGCGUCUCUUUACACAAUCCGUCCAAUGUCCAUCAGAUAUGGCUUCCAUCAACAUCAUGCCAUUAAAUCUCCUCAGCUGUACAAAUAUUCUGAAGAUAAAAUAAUUGAAGUAAAAGUAAAUUGCAUAUAAAAGAAAGCUUGGGCAGCCAUUUCCUUGUUUAUAAUAUCAUUAUUAGCAUGGAAAUUCAGUAGCAGUGAAACAUUGCAUCCCCCAAAUCCACAGGGACCUGGAUGCAAAAUGAAUAAACACUAAUAUAUACUCAUGGAAAACUACAAAAGGAAAAAAGUGCAUAUAAAGCAAAAUUACAAACCAGUGGAUUGAUCUUGUUAGGAUCAUUGCCUACAUUCUUCAUGAACCUCACAACUGUACAUUCCAUGUCCUGCUUCAAGUACCUCCUGCAUUGCUCAAUGGUAACAUCAAAUUACAAGUACGAUAUAAUAGUGAACUUGGUAAAGACAGCAAAAAAUGAGGUUAUAUAUAUAUAUAUAUAUAUCAACUAUCUGUUCAAAUUAGAAAGACAAAUGCUUACCAGCUAAUUUUGAAGAAAGAAUUCUGAUGGAGUCACCUAUAUCUUCUGCUAUUUCUUUUCCCACACUUUUUGAACUUGUCCACCCAUUUGUUUCCCAACUCAUUCAGCACUGUAUAUCCAAUACAUAGCCCAACGACUAAUCCACUAGCAUAACCUAUCAACGCAAUUUUCCAAGUAGACAGAGCAUAUAACCAUGAAUCUUCAUCUUCCCCUGGAGGUGGUGGCAUUGGAAGACCAACUUCAUUGCAUUUUCUUGACAAUGGCAGCCCACACAAUUUUGGGUUCCCACGGUAGGAAUCAUUUGUAAAUGUAAUGAAUUGGUUGCUUUGUGGUAUGCUCCCUUCAAGUUGGUUGUAUGACAAGUUCAAUGCUUCCAGGAAAGUUAGACUUGUAAGUUGUGGAGGAAUCUUCCCUGACAGCUUGUUUCUUGAGAGAUCCAAAGAUUCGAGGUCUUUUAGAUUUUGAAGUGCUAAUGGGAUUUCACUAGAGAAGCUAUUGUUGGAUAAGUUCAUCACUCUGAGUGACCUCAGCAUUUGUAUUUCUUCUGGUAUUCUCCCAUGGAAACUAUUGUUGGAAAGGUCAAGACAAGUAAGAAUUGCCAAGACUUUUUGGUAGAACAUUUCAAUCCCUUUGUUAACAAUUGUCACAGAGUCUUGAUAAUAAUUCUCUCCGAUAUAAUUCAGCUUAGCCUUUUCGUCAUUAGUCAUCUUCGCCAUUGCCUUCAAACUCUGCAAAAAUUCAAUGGACAAGUCACCUGAAAAAUUGUUGGAAGCAAUGUCCAAUAUACGUAGCUUUGGAAACCCACAUUCCGUGUCGAUUUUUGAAAUUGUACCGUAGAAUCUGUUUGCUCGCAAAACGAGAACCUUCAAGGAAGGUAGCUUCUCUAGCCAAAAUGGGAAUGUAUCAUGAACCAUAUUAUUUCCGAGGUCCAGAACCUCAAGUGCUGUGCAAUUGGCUAAUGAUCUCGACAGCUUCCCUUCCAAUUUAUUCCCACCUAUUUUGAGUGACCUUAGUCUAGUGGGUUGAAGGAAAUCAAUGGAUAGUUCACCAGAAAACUGGUUUGAAGCAAUGUCCAAUACAUCCAAAGUUGGGAAAACAGAUUUAUGUUUGAAAUGUUUAAUUUGACCAUAAAACCUGUUUUCCCGCAAAAUGAGAACCUUUAGCGCAGGCAAUUUCUCCAACCAAAAAGGGAAUGUAUCAUUGAUCAUGUUGCUUCCUACAUCCAAAACCAUAAGUUGAGUGCAUUUUGCUAAUGAUCUGGGCAACUUCCCUUCCAAUCUAUUCUCACUAACUUUCAGAAAUUGCAGUUGGGUUGCUUUUGAAAAUUUUGGUAUCAUUCCACUGAAGUUAUUUCCUUGCAAACCCAACCAACUCAGAGCACUCAUAUUGCCCAAGCAAUUUGGAAUUGGGCCACUCAAAUUGUUAUAAGAUACAUCGAAACUGUAAAGUUGACUCAUAUUGCAUAACCAAUUUGGAAUUGGGCCACUCGAAUUGUUAUAAGAUGCAUCUAAACCGCUAAGCUGACUCAUAUUGCAUAACCAAUUUGGAAUUGGGCCACUCAAAUUGUUAGAAGAUGCGUCGAAUUCUUCUAAAUUUUCUUGACUCUUUAAGAACUCCGGAAAUGCACUUAUGUUACAAGAUUCCAGACGCAAUCGCCUCAACAUUGGGAAAGAGAAGUUUGCAUCACUUAAAGGAAGUUGUUUUGGAAAAUCAAUCACAUUGAAAGAAAGGUCUAAGGAUAAAAGACUGCUCUUCCACAACCAAUUAGGCACAACACCAUGGAUAUGGUUGCUAGAAAGAUCUAAGUCAACCAACUUGUCUUGUGUUUUGAUGAACUCUGGAAACGCACUUAUGUUACAGGAUGUCAAACGCAAGUCUUUCAACAUUGGAAAUGAAAAGUUUGCAUCAUUUAAGGGAAGCUGUUUUGGAAAAUCAAUCAUAUUGAAAGAAAGGUCUACCCAUGAAAGACUGCUCUUCCACAACCAAUUGGGCACAAAACCAUGGAUAUGGUUGUUAGAAAGAUCUAAGCCAACCAACUUGUCUUGCCUUUUAAUGAAUUCUGGAAAUUCAGUAAGGUUGCAUGACCAUAGCCUUAGUGUCUCUAAUUGGGGUAAAGUAAGACUUCUGUUGUCGCUUUCAAUUAACAAGCUUAUAUUGUUUAGCCAGAGAGUCCUUAAGUUGUUGAGUUGGACAAACAUGUCAAGCUUCAUGGAACUGAAGCUAUUGCUUUCAAUAUAAAGCCAUUCAAGCCUUGGAAGUUGAAGGAUUGACUUUGGGAUUGGUCCUGUUAAAUAAUUAUUGCCUAUAUAUAGUUCUUGAAUCAAAGAAGAAGAUGCAUUGGGGAACUCAUCAAUUUUCCCAACCAAUUGAUUUUCUCCAAGAUACAAGAUCUUCAACGAUGGAAGAGUAAAUAAAGAAGAAUGUAUUGAUCCAGAAAGCUUGUUCCCUCCUAGAUAUAGGUUGACCAGGUGACUAAGAUUUGCAAUUGACGAUGGAAUGGGUCCAAAAAAAUUGCAAUCAUCAAGCUCUAAAUUUGUCAGGAACUUGAGGUUACCAAUUGAUUGGGGUAGUUUUUCACUGAAAUUUGUAUAAGAAAGCGACAAACUCUGUAAAGAAUUGUUUGAUGAAAAUUCUGGCAACUGACCCAUAAGUUGGUCAUUAUCUGAAAUGUCAAUGCUUUGCAUUUUUGGCGAUAAGAGAUUUUCAGUUGGAAAAUGGCCACUCAAAUUGCAGUUCCUCAAACUGAGAGAAACCAAACGAGAGGAAAUUUCCAAGAAAUUGGGAGGUAAAUAAGAGAUUGGGUUCCAAUCAAGGAUAAGUUUGGAAAGAAAAGAGAGUCUUGAGAGUGAAGAACAUAAUGGACCUUUCAAACCACAGCUUGACAGACUCAACACAUGCAGGUUUGGAAGUACAAGAGAUGUGGUUUCACACCAUUUAGUACUUUGAGUUGAAAUGUCGACACCAUCCAAAUAAAGCUCCGUGAGAAACUUCAAAUUCUUGAUAAAUGUCUUGAAGUUUGGUUUCUCCAAUUUUAAAGUAGCUGAAUCAUAAUCGUAACCAUUUCUCAAAUAACAAGAACCUUGAUUGGAUAGAUCAAGAGAGACUAACCUUUUUAAGAAUGAGAUCUCCACUGGAAUUUGGCCAUGGAAACAUGAGCUUGAAAGGUUGAGAUGAGUUAGAUUUUGGAGUUCAUCAAACCCAUAGGAAAACAGAGUGGUAUUAAAGUUGUUUCCAGCAAGAUUCAGGUGUUGAAGAUGAUGGAGAUCGAAUAUGGAGUGAAAGCUGCCUGAAAGGUUUUUGUAACUAAGAUCAAUGCCAACGACAUGACCAUAAGCAUCACAAGUGACUCCUUCCCAAGAACAACAAUCAGUGUUGACAUCCCAGAGGUCAAAAUUGGAAGAGAAAGUAAAAUUAGGGGCAUAGUAAAGAUGAUGCUGCAAUUGCAGGAGAGGAGCUCUCUGGUCUUCAAGGCAUUGCUUAGGGAGAUGAGUUUGAGGAGGUGAAAAAGACAAGACAAGAGAAAGGAAGCAUGAGAAGAGGAAGAGUGAAAUAAGGAAAUGAAGAGUGUUCAUGUUUGUUGGGUGUGAAGAAGGAUUGUGCUUGGCAUACAACUUAUUUAUACACAAAUGUGUAGUUUUCAUGUUUGGCAUAGCAUGCAAUUUCCAAGUCUUUUUGCCCAGUCAAUACUGCAUCAAAAUAAUGUUCCACCACUUUAGUUAAGUCUUUUUGGUUAACCUUUUCCAGCAAGGGAUAAUAAUAAUAAUAAUACUAAUAAUAAAUAAUUUAUAGCAUAAAUUAUUUGUUGUUAGUAUUAGAAAUAAGUUGUUAAAUUCACAUUUAAUUUGCGUUUUAAUAUAUUAUUAGAGAAUAAUAUAUUAUUGAUGUCAUUUUUUUAAUAUUUAAUUUUUAUGUUUUAUAUUAAUAAAUAUUUUUAUAAUUCGAGUUUCGAGUUGAAUUUUACAAUUUAAAUAACUCAAAUACUUCAAACAAUAAAUUGAUGUACAUGCUCCUUUGGUCCCUGUCAAUUUUAAAAAUUAACAAAUUGAUCUCUCUCAACAAAAGUUUUCAAAUAAAAUUUUAAAUAAUUUUUAAAAUCAAAAUAUUCAUAAAAAUUCUCAAAUUUAUAUUUUGUAAAAACUAUAAUAAUUUUAAAUCAUAAUGGUUUUAAUUUGAAAAUUUUAAAAUCUUUAAUUUAGGACCAGAAAAAAUUGUAGUAUGAAAUAUUAUAGGCCUUUUAAUUUAGGUAUUAAGUCUUUGGCAUUGCAUGCAAAUGUCCAAGUUUUUAUUGCACAAAAAUAAUGUUUAACCAAUGUGUACAAGUCAAGUCACCUUAUAGAUUGAUGGACACAAUAAGUGGAAAUUUUGAUGAUAGAAUAUAUAGAAUUUUUCACUUUUGAAAGAUACAUUUUUAAAUUUCAGCUUUCAAACUUUCUUAAAGCUUGAGAAAUAUUUUCAUUUCUAUAUUAUUAUUUAAUUAUUAUUUAAUUUUAAUAUUUUAAUAUUUUAUAAUAUUAAAAAUAGUUAUAAUUCGAGGUUCGAGUUGAAUUUUAUAAUUUAAAUAAUUCGAAUAAUUCAAACAACAGAUUGAUAUAUUUACUCCUUUGAUUCUUGUCAAUUUUAAAAAUUAACAAAUUAAUAUUCUCUCUCAACAAAAAUUACAAAAAUAUAUUAAAAUAUUUUUAAAGUUAAAAUAUUCAUAAAAAUUCUAAAAUUUAUAUUAUGUAAAGACUAUAAUAAUUUUUUAUUAUUUUGCUUUGAAACAGUUUUUUAAUAUUUAUGAUUUCAAAUAUUAAUUAUACUAUAAUAAGAUUUUAAUUUGACAUAUUUAUUUUUUAAUUUAAAUCAAACAAUUUUACACCCUAAAUAAUUUUGACCUGUCACCAGUAUACACACAGGUCAAAUUAAUACAAAUACAUAAGAGCUCAAAAAUAACACUAAAAAAAACAAUUGUUUGAUUUAUUAGUAGAGAAUUGGAUUUUUAAUUCUAAUGAUUAAAUAUCAAACUCAAACAACUUCAAAUAUAUAUACAUAAAGGAUGUUAUGAAACACUCAUAAAAAUCAUCAAAAAUAAAUGAGACGGGGAUAAUUUUUUGAAGGAUAAGAUGAAAUGUGUUUUAGAAUUAACAUUUUUUUUUCUUUGGCAUGCAAGCUAAUGUUCAAGUCUUUUUACCCAUUAAGGAGUACUCCUAAAUCCCAACUUAUAAAUAUGCUAUGAUCUACCAACGGGUUUAAUUAAAUCCAACACCCCAAAUUAUGGGCUCAACUCUAAAUUCAAGAUUUGGCGUUGCACGCAAAAUGUCUAAGUCUUUGCCCGAUCCUUACUAUAUGAAAACAAUGGUUUACCACUUUGUUUAAGUCAAGUCAUUAUAAACACAAAAAUAAAGCAUUUGUGUUAGCUGGUUGAGAUGGAUUGGUACAAAAUAAGUGCGAGGCUGUACGUACUAAAACCCAACAUGUGUUUGUUAAAAUAAAAACCCAAUGUGCCAGCAAAAGACGGGAGUAGCAGCAGCAGCUGUGUCUCUUUACACAAUCAGUAUAAUGUCUAUUAGAUAUGGCUUUCAUGUUUGCUGGCUGUGAAGGAGGAUUGUUUCCAUACAACUUAUUUAUACAAAAAUUAGUAAUUUCCAUACAUUAUUUUUAAUUUUGGACUCACCCCGAUCACUACUGCCUGAAAAUAAUGUUGUUCCACUAAUUUUAUUUUAGUCAAUUAAUAAAAAAAAUGGAAUUGUGGUGAUAUUUUUUUAACUGAUUGAGAUAGAUUGAUGGCUCAAAGACUAAAUUUUCUCAUAACUUUGAUGACUUUUCAAUGAACUUAAAAGUGUAUGGAAUCAAUAGAAAACUAUGGAAUGAGAUAUUAUUGGACUUAAUUAGUCUUAGCCUUUUGUCACUGCAUGCAAAUGUCUAAAUCUUUUUGACCCCAUCAAAACAAUGUUUAGCAAUUGUUUCUUAGGUAGUUGAGAUGGAUUGAUGGGCACAAGUAGUGGAAAUUUUGAUGAUACAAUGUUUAUAGUUUUCCUCUUCUUAGUAAUUUCUUUGAAAGAAACAUAUUUAAAUUUCCACAUUAAUAUUUUUUUAGAUUUAAUUGAAUUUAUCAAAGACAAAUGAGACUAACGAGAUGUCUUAUAUUAUUAACAAUUUUUUAAUUCUUUGAAAAAACUAAUUUGAAUUUCAAAUUUUUUUUUCAAUUUCAAAAUGCUACAAAUCAAACAAAUCAGGAAUAAAAAUUUAAUUUGCCAUUCUCCUCCUAUUAGGAAGGGAUAUAGAUGACGUGAAUAAAGAGAAUGGAUUGUAGGAAACUAUAAUUUCAUGUCAUCCUAACAAAUCACAUUUUGUUCUCCUAAUUUUCAACCUUUUCCUCUUGGAAAAAUUCAAAUCCAAUUAAAAAUGCUACAAAUUAGACAAAUUAGGAAUAAAAAUUUAAUUUAUUAUUCUCCACUUAUUAAAAAGGGACAGAAAUAACGUGAAAUUACAGUUUCAUAUCAUUCUUUCCCUUAAAUAAAUUCUUUUAAAUGUUUUACAAUGAUAAAAUUGUCGCUUGAAUAAAUUCUUAUAAAUGUUUUACAAUAAGAGAAUUGAUUAUUUUUAUUAAGAUCACAUAUUUAUUUCUAAUGUUUUAGAUUGUUUGCCAAUACUAAAAACCACACCACAUUAUAAAGAAUCAUUUAUUUCAUAUAUUUUAAUUUUUAUCAUAAUUUACUUUUGGCUACAUCCAAAGGGUUAAUUCCUUAAAUUAUGGACUAAAUUUUAAAUUGAUCUCUAAAUUUUUUAAAAAAAAAUUAAUUACUCAAACAAUAAAUCACAUUCUAAUUUGAAAUUUUUAAUUUUGGACUAACAAAGAAAAUAUUAGUGUGAGAUAUUGUUGGCCUUUGGCUAACAUUGGAAAGCAUACUAGAUUUUAAGACAUAAUUUAUUUCAUUAAAUUUUAAUUAUUAUUUUUAUUUUUAUCAUAUAAUUAUCUAAUUCAAUCAUAUUUUUGAAAUUAAUAAAACUAUCACUGAAACGAUAAAUAAACUAGUAUAAAAAUAAGUGUCUAGCUGAACUAAAACCCGGACCAACAUUAUAAACUAAUUAAAAUGAUUUUCUACUAUUUUAAUAAUUUGGACUAAUUAAUAACAUUAUAAAGAUGUAAUGCCUAAAUUAUGUUAAAGAUUAAAGUAUAUAUAUGUAUGUAUACAUAUUACUAUUUUUAACCAAUUCUUUUUAUAUUAUAUAUAUAUGAAUAUAUUUUUUUAAAUGCAAAUAUAUAUAUUUUUUAUAUACUUUAUAAUUUAUUUUUUCCUUUUACUUUCGUAAAUGCAUCAUGUAUGUAUAAGUUUCAUAGCCCAAAAUUUAUUUGUAAAUUAUAUGUAUAUUUUUAAUCUUCAUAAUUUUCAUGUGUGUAUUAUAUGUCUUCUGAUUUUUAUUUAUUUUGUUUGUUUUCCUCAUUCGAGGUAUAAUUGUGUUUACAUUUAAUGUUUUGCAUGUCAUGGAUCAUUAUUUUUUUAUUUCGUUUAUUUAUUUGUUUAUAUUAUUUUUAUGCCAUUAAUGUAUUUAUUAUCGUUGUAUUUAUUAUUAUAGCAUUUGUAUGUAUAAUAUAACGUUACAUCAUCUUUUACUCAAAUUUAAAAUUAGAAAAUUUCCAAGAUUGAGAUAAUGCUCGUAUUAAGGAUUUUCAAGGAAAUUGAGCCCUAACGUAUUGGGUUCCGAUUUUCUUCGUUAAAUCCAACGAUCGAGCAUUUCUCUUUAAUCAAAAAUAAUAACUCAUUAUUGGGAAUUCAACACGUUGUGUCCUAACGUAUUGGAUGUGACGCAUUGAUUUCUCGAAAUGAAGAUUUUUUAAAAAUAAUAAAGGGAAUAUUCCGAAUUUGGGAUUUUAAAGGAAUUGUGCCCUAACGUAUUGGGUGUGAUUUCUUAAAUCUUGGAUAAGUGGAUGUUCUUUUAAAGUAAAGGAAAUAUUCCGAGUUUGGGAUUCUAAAGGGAUCGUGCCCUAACGUAUUGGGUGUGAUUUUUAAAUCUUGGAUGAGUGGAUGUUCUUUUAUUCUGACCUAAUUCAUUUUGGGGAAAAUUAGAAUGUUGUGCCCCAACGUAUUGGGUGUGGCAUUUUUGCUUCUCUGAAUUGAAAAGGGUAUUAAUAUGCAACGUUUUAAGUUUUUUAAAAGAUUAUUUUAAAAUUUUCGACCUUAAGACAUUAAUUAAUUAACUAGGUACCAAUUUUUGGGCGUAAUGGGGGUGCUAAUCCUUCCUCAUACGUAACCGACUUCCAGACCCGUUUUUUUAAAAAGAAUUCGUAGACCAAAGCCGUUUUAGGUGAUCCAAUCACACCUUACUAAAAGAUUGGUGGCGACUCCGAAUUUUCUUUUUUUAAGUCGACAACCUAAAAAUUUUGUUGUUUUCAAAAAAAUGGUUUCGACAAUUAGUAUUUUUCUUAAUCAUUUUCAUAGUAUUGUGGCAUACCAAUUCUUCCCUGCAUCUGGGAAACUAGUUUAAUGCUCUGUUUCAUUGGAUAAAUUUCCCUAAAAAGUAUGUGUACAUUGUAAUAAUAGUGUGAGAUAGUGUUGGCCUUUGGCUAACAUUGGAAAACAUAUACUAGAUUUUAACACAAAAAUUCUUUCAUUAUAUUUUAAUUAUUAUUAUCAUAUUAUUACAUACAAAGUUUAAUUGAAUUGUAAUUUUUAACGUAAUAAGGCUAUCAUUGAAAGGAUAAAUAGAUUAAUAUAAAAACAAGUGUCAAGUUUCACUAAAACCCGGACCAACGGGUCCACCCUUUACACCCGGACCUAAAUUUAACUCGAAUAAUUUCAUAUGAUAAUGUUUUUUAUAUACCCUAUAAUUUUGACCGGUCAACACUAUAAACACACGUAAAAUACAAAUACAUAAGAGCUCAAAAAUAACACUAAAAAAAACAAUUGUUUGAUUUAUUAGUAGAGAAUUGGAUUUUUAAUUCUAAUGAUUAAAUAUCAAACUCAAACAACUUCAAAUAUAUAUACAUAAAGGAUGUUAUGAAAAAUAAAAUUAACAAAUGAAAAAACAUAAGGAACAUUUCAGUAGCAACUUUUUACAUAGACAUCAAAUAAAGAAACACUCUUAAUUUUACUUUUGUUUGUCUCUCUUCUUCUUUUUUUACCUUUCUUGUAUGAAACUAAAUGCAAGAAAAGUAAAGAUUAGAAUCCAAAUACGAAUUUCAAACCUGUAGGGCUGAGUAUCUAGAUUCGAGACUAUAUUUAGUUCAGGAGAUGUAUAAUCAGGGAGUCUGCCACUGAGAACUUUUUCCCAUAUCUUUGGUUUUGUGAAGGAGGAAUAUUGUGCCUGAUAAAAUUAUAAUAAAUCCACAUAAUUCUGUUGUAAUCUCUGUCCCGCCUUAUGAAUAGGAUUGUAUAUAAAUCAAGUUUAAUCCGUCAGUUUAUUUUUUUUGGCCUAUUAGUGUUCACGUUUAUGCAUAUAAACUAAAUAAAUAUGUCUACGAUGUUCAUGAAAAUAGUCAAACAUUUCCAUAAGAAAGUUAGUCAAACUCAAAAAUAAAAAUAAAAUUUGUUGAUUUACACUCCCUACCUAUAUAAGUGGAGUAAGGAUGUAUAUAGAUAAAAACCUUACCUUAAACAUGAUAAUGCUGGCAAUAAUGGUGAACGUUGUGAACAUGACAUAGUAAACAGGACAUACAACAGUAGUAUUAAAAGUGUCUAAAGCAUGCAAAAUUGUAAGCUUUUAGUAGCAUCAAGAAUAAUAACAAUAACUUAAAUUUAGAGUCAAUCAUCAUAUUAAAUCAAGAAUACAAGGUUGAAAGAAAUUAUUUAAAAAAAAACACGUUUAUGCUUUUUUAUUCUAUAAGCAAUUUAAUAAUAAGCAAAUUGAUCUCUCAACAAAAAUUACAAAAUAAUUUUUAAAAUUCAAAAUAUUUAUAAAAAUUUCAAAUUUCAAAUUUCACUUCACUCAACUCAAUUCGAAAAAAUGUCAAAUCGAGUUAGGAUGAUAAAUAUGACUCAUCAGUUCAAUUAACUCAAAAAAUUUUCACUUGAUUUGAUCAAACACUCAUAAAAAUCAUCAAAAAUAAAUGAGACAGAGAUAAUUUGUUAAAGUAUAAGAUGAAAUGUGUUUUAGAAUUAACAUUUUUUUUCUUUGGCAUGCAAGCUAAUGUUCAAGUCUUUUUACCCAUUAAUAAAUCCUAAUUUAUUAAGUAGUAUCCAACUUAUAAAUAUGUUAUGAUCUAUCAACGGGUUUAAUUAAAUCCAACACCCCAAAUUAUGGGCUCAACUCUAAAUUCAAGAUUUGACAUUGCAUGCAAAUGUCUAAGUCUUUGCCCGAUCCUUGCUAUAUGAAAACAAUGGUUUACCCCUUUGUUUAAGUCAAGUCAUUAUAAGCACAAAAUAAAGCAUUUGUUUUAGCUGGUUGAGAUGGAUUGACGGGAAUAUGGAGUGGAAAUUAUGAUGACGACACAAUUUCUGCGAAACAGAUUAGUACAAAAUAAAUGCGAGGUUGUACUAAAACCCAACAUGUGUUUGCCCGAUCAAUACUGCAUGAGAUGGAUUGAUGGGCACCACUUAUGACUUAUGGGUGGAAAUUUUGAUGAUAAAAAGUGUGGGGUUCUUCUGAAAUUUACUUUGGGUUGAUUGAAAUUGAUGAUCACAGAUUAGUUGAAAUGUCUUACAAUAUUAGCCACUUUUCAAUCCUUUACACUUUCAAAGUUUGUCCAACCAAUUGAAAUGCAACAAGCAUAUAGUUUUUUAAGUCCAAAAUUAGAUUCUUUUUAUUGGUUUACAUAAUUAAUUUUCAUUUUCUCUUCAAUUAUUUAAAUCUAUUAUCUUUCUUUUAUUUUUUCAUGAACAAAGAUAAAAUCAUAAUUGGAUUAAGUCGGGUCAGGUCAUUCUAGAGCAAUAAUCAUAUAAUUUUUGAAGAAUUUUAUCCAAUGGUUGCAUAUAGCUAUACACGCCUAGAUGCCUUGAAAAUAUCAUUGCUUCCGGUCCAUCGACUACUCAGUUACCCUAUUUGAAUACAUGUGUCACCCUAAUCAUCCAAAGACAUUGAAUAAUUUCUUUAAUAAUUCGUAACACAGCUAAAUGGUGGAACUCAACUGAUCAUCUUGAAUCAAUUAGAUUGUAGUCAUAUUAUUCAUCUCAAGGACAAUCCAUUGAAAACCUAAUCUCUAAGUCAUUUGAAAUCCCUCCAAAGCUCCGCAAAGCUCGACAUUGAGUGUAUAACAACAUAAUGUAUUUAGAGACAAAGCUCAUAGAUUUAUUUUCUAAUUAGGAAAUUAUAUGUUUUUAGUGUAGGACUAAUAAAGAAACGAUAGUAUGCAUGGGUUUUUAUCAAAUGGAGUCUUUGACUUAGUCUUGGCAUGCAUACUUGCAAAUGACUCCUAUUGCCCAGUCAUUACUUAAUUAUGUUCUACUAAUUUCCAGGCCGGUUCUUAAUAUUUUUGGGCUUCAGGCAAACAAUAAAUUAGACUUUUUUUAAAAAAAAUUAUAUAAAAUGUAAUGCAAUAACAGCUGAACAUAUUUUGCGGCUUAGGUGAUGAAAUAUUUAUGGUGAAAAAUUAAAAAUCUUAUGCAUCUAAUUAAUUUAUUUUAGUCUGAAAUUUUUUUUCUUAUAUUAAAAACUGAAAAAAAUAAAUUUUUAAGCCCCUUCCACGAUUAUACUCUCAAAUAACCCGAUUGCCGGGGUUGCUAGUUUCCUUAAAAACCACAGAAAUAUAUUAAUCAAGUGAUAGAGACGCAGUGCAAUUUCAACACAAUUUGAAAAAGAUUGAACUUUUAAACUUUCUUGGUUUAAUUGAAAUCACUAAACUAAAUGAAAAAUGAAUUAGUGGAGAUGCCUUGGACGCUUUCUAAUUUCUUUCAAAAAAACUACUUCAAAAAUAUAUCUAUUUUUUCAAACUAAAUAAGAUUAAAGAGUUUGCUGACUGGCAACGGCGCCGUCGUUCACGUUGGCCCGGAAAAAUUAAAAAUUUUCCUUUUUUCUUUCCUCUCUCUAUUGGCCUCCCGAGCUUAGAUCUACCGAUCACCGUCCAAAAAAGUAAGAAAGUUUUGAUUUUUUUUCUUUUUUUUUGUUUCUUAUAUAUAUAUAUAUAUAUAUUCAAAAUAAAUAAAUAAUGCCUACCGGCUAAAUUUGAAACAAGAAUUCUGAUGGGAGUCACCUACAUCUUCUUCUAUUUCUUUUCCCACACUUUUUGAACUUAUCAACCCAUUUGUUUCCCAACUCAUUCAGCAUUCUAUAUCCAGCUCAUUUAUUUUCCCUCAAACUUUUAUUCCCCUAAACUUUUUAUUUUUCCCCUAAACUUUUACUUCUCAUCCUUUACUCCCAAAUAAAAAAAUCAAAAUUAUCCAAAAAACCCCUUAAACAUAAAUAGUAAUACUUUUAUUUAUAUCUACUAUUUAUAUUAUUAAAUUAAAUUUCACAUUUUAUAUUAUUUAUAUUAUUGAAUUGUUUAGUCAUAUUGAAUAUUUAUAUUAAAUUUGAAUUAUUAAUGAUGCCAUAAAAUAUUCAUGUUAAAAUUUUAUAUUGGUAUCAAUUUCACAUUUUAUCUUUAAAAUAACUUUUAUUAAAAAAAAGCACAUUUUUACAUUUAAUAUUUUUUUAAUUCCAAAAUACAUAGUGACAAGAAUCUGAAGAUAAUUGAAACAACUAAGCAAGCAAAGAAGCUAACACAUAUAUAAAAGAUUAAAAUAUAAAUUAUGAGGUGAUGAAAGUUAAUAACAAAUUUGAUUAUGGUAGACAAAUUUUAUUACGGUGGGUGACAGUGGUUACAACUACUCAAAAUUAUUUUUAAAAAUUUGACUUGAAUGAAUUCCAUCACAUUUGACUUGAUUCCAGAAAAUUUCAAAUUAAAUUAAGAUGAUAAAAUAUGAUUCAUCAACUUGAUUAACUCGAAAUUUUUCCAUUCCAUUCGAUUCGAUUUCAUUCGAUCGAACACUCACCCCUAACUGCAUGAAAGUAAUGUUCAACCACUUUGUUUAAUUCAAGUCAUUAAAAUAUCAAGUAGUGGAAAUUUCUAAGUCUUUGAUAUGAAUGCAAAAUUCUAAGUCUUUAUAACUGCAUGCCAAUAAUAAUGAUGAUGAUGAUGUACCAAUUUGAUUAAGGAAGGUCAUUAAAAAAAAGAAAUAAUGGUAAUUUUUUAAUAAAAUAAUUUAUUAUUGAAUUUUUUAAGUAAAAUUUGGUAUAAGACCCAAAAAUGGUAUAAAAUUAUUCAUUGAACAUAUAUAAACAUUAUCGUUGAUAAAAAAAAUUUUAAUACUUUAUACUUAUAAAAAAAUGAUAACAUGAGAUAUUAUUGCCUUUAAUCUUAGUCGUUGGCAUUGCAUGCAGAUGCAAAUGUUAAAAGUCUUUUUGCCAUAUCAUUAAUGCAUGAAAACCUAUGUUGAACCACUUUGUUGAACUCUUAAUAUUCUUCUUAUUAAUGCCAGGUUUCAAUCUUCUUGUCGGCUCUUUAUUCUAUAUAAAUGAUUUUCUAAUUUUAAUUUUCUUAAAUUUUAAUCAUUAAAAAAAUAAAAUUAUAGCAAUAAUAAUGUCCUUUAAACCUUAUUAGAGCCAUGAUUACACGUAGAAUGAACAAAGAUAUUUUUGUUCUAACUUCACUUGAAAUAAUGGUUGAAGUUGUUGCCUACCCUAAUCAGCACCAAAAACAUGUCAUCUACCUAAUCAGUCACACCUUCUCCUAUACGCACAUUAAAACCAAUAUUAUUGAUUGUAAAGCAUUCCGUUGUCAAGAUUUAUGACCAUAGACCUAACCAUAAUACUCAAUAAAUUCGCCAACACCACCAUGACCAUGUUUCCUCAACAUUGGUGUUAGAGUCAAAACCAGAUUGGUUUCUGUUACACCGUCUCGAAAUUUCCCAGACAACAUGGACCAUAGGCUGCUGAAUUUUGAAAAUUGAAAUUUUGUAUUGAAUUUCACUUCUAAGUUUUGGUUUUACAAAAGUUUAGGAUAAUGUCAAUAAUUUUGCAUGCUUCGACCGCUACCGCCCACAAUCAGUGCUCCAUGGAUUAUAACAGGCUUUGCAUGCUUCAACCAUUACUACCUUUCUAGCCACAAUGAGAAGGCCAGCAUAUAUAAAAUUCAGCUCAAUUGAUGGCCUUUGGUCGAAAAUAGUUUAUGAUCAUACCAAUUAAAACGCAAUCAUAGGACAUAUAGUCUAUUAAAUCUAAAAUAUGGAUUUUUUUCCCUUUCUUUUUUCUUCAUGUGCUAAUUUUUAUUUCUUGUAAAUAUUUUAAAUAAGUAUUAAUUUCUAUAAAUUCGUUUAAAUGUUUCGUGAAUCAUUUGAAUAAACUACUAUAUUUAUAGUAAAAAUGAGGUUGCAAUUGCAAGAGAGGAGAUAUGUGAUCAUCAAAGCGUUGGCUUGGGAGAUGAGAUUGAGAAAGAGAGGAUGAGAAGAGAAAGAAGAAAGGAAGAAAAAGUGAAACAAGGGAAUGAAGAGUCUUCAUGUUGGUCAAACCUGGUCCAAGACCAUCCAGAAUGCCCCAUAGUUUUGAAUUAUGAGUUUUAUUGGUCUUGUUAAUCAUAUUAAUUUCAAUAUAUUCAUAGACUUAGUCUUAGCCUGUGGCAUUGCAUGCAAAUGCCUAAAUCUUUUUGCAUGAAAACAAUGUUUACCAAACCAAUUCCAAUUCUUUGAAAAAAUUAAUUCCAAUUCCAAAAGGUUUUUUUAUUUUUUUUAUUUCAAAAUUUACCAAACCAAUUGAAACCCAAUGAGAUUAAAGAAUAUAUAAUUAUUUAAAUCUAAAAUAUGAUUUUUUUAUUCGUACAAAACACGGCUAAUUUUAAAUUUUUGUGGUCUCCACAAAUGGCCAGCUACCUGCACAAGGACACUGGCAAAUAACCGCCUGCAGCAGUACAUUCCUCAGCACCAUUCCGCACAGCCAAGGCACCGCAGCUCUAUGAGGAGCACAUACUCCUCUCCAAGCUCCUGGAUCCAAUAAAAAUACAAAAGGAGGUUAGCACCGCCGCCGCCAGAUUUGCCCAUAUGUUAAGAGAAUUCAUCAAUGAAAUUCAUAAGCCCAAUAACAAGGGUGAUUCCAUUACCAUUUUUUUGUUAUUAGUAUUUUUCUUAGUAUUGUAGCAUACCAAUUCUUCCCUGCAUCUGGGAAACUAGUUUAAUCCUCUGUUUCAUUGGAUAAAUUUCCCUACAAAGUAUGUGUACAUUGUAAUGAUAAUGUGACACGUUGUUGGCCUUUACUAGACUGUAAGACAUAAUUUCUUUCAUUAUAUUUUAAUUAUUAUUAUCAUAUUACAUACAAAGUUUAAUUGUAGGGUAUUUUUUUAAAGUAAUAAAACUAUCAUUGAAAGAAUAAAUUGACUAAUCCCAAUACCAAUUUAGAAUAGGAUUAUUGUAUUUAAAGCAGAAGUUCACAGUUGAGUAAACUAAAUCCUAAGAUGAUAAGAUCCAACCAUCCGCGUAUGAUAUAAACUACAUGUAAGAGAACGUCGAGUGCAACAUAUCAGUUUUGGGAUUAACCUUUUCACCAUAUGCUUCUCCUUUUCUCAACUUUAUGCUGCCAAUCUGUGCUUUCUUCUCAGAUUGUUGGCCUGAAAAUUAGAAUAUGAAGCUUCUCAUUUCACUUGCAAUUAUCAUGUUUUUCAUAUGCAUAACAUGGCUAAUUUUUAUUUCUUGUAAAUAAAUAUUUCAUUUCCGUAAAUUCGUUUAAAUGUUUCAUAAUGGGAGAAUCAUUUGAAAAAGCUACCAUAUUUAUAGUGUUUUACAUUGUUUGUCAAUUCCAGAAAACGGACCAUAUUUUAAGAUAUCUAAUUUUUCAUUAUAUUUUACUUACUUAUUUUUAAAGUAAUAAAACUAUUAUUAAAAAAUAAAUAAAUUAUUUGUACAAAAUAAAUGUCAGAUUGCACUAAAACCCGGACCAAUAGAUUUACCCAUUACACCCGAGCCUAAAGCCCAACAUGUGUUUGAUAAUAUAAAACAAAGAAGACAAAACUUAUCAUACUUUGCGUGGUUUUCUACUUGAAAUGAUUCAUUGCCACCAAUUACAUGCAAUGACUUAAUGCUUAGAAGGACAGAGGUCAUUUCCCUGUGACAAAAUAAGAAACACAAGUCAAACCACCAAGAAUAUAACUUCUCAUAAGCAUGCAAAUAUAGGAAUAUUACAUAGGAAAAACAAAAUCACUGUGUCACCACUCCUGCUGCUUAAAUUAAGGAAUUGCAAUGUUGUAUGAUCCAAAAUUAGUUUGCAACAUCAAUCUUUUCAAAAUAUAAAGACUAUAGCUUCAAAAGGAUAUGUUUACCUGUUGACUUUAAUACAUGAAUUCCGACACAGUCACCAAGAUUUUCUUCUGUUUCUUUUCCCAUAUUUUUUGAACUUGUCAACCCAUUUGUUUCCCAACUCAUUCUGUUGUUCCAAUAGGGUCGGAAGCGUGUAAAUUAUUGUACUAAAAAAUCACACAAAGUUCAAUUCCCAGGGAAGAGAGGUGGAUCACAUGGAUCUCUUAAAUACCAAGUCUUUCCUUAGUCAGAAUAUCCCUUCUAUAGUAAUUUAAUAGCACAAUUAAAUACUACUAUUAUACCCUAAAAUAUUGAAAGAAAAAUAGGACAAGAAAGAACACAAGAGUUUUAACGAGGUUCGGUAAAUUAUACCUACGUCCUCGGGCACUAACACUAGAUGAUAACUUUACUAUCUCCAAAAUAUUACAAACAAAUAGAAUUCCUUAAGAAUUCUCAAAUGGGAGAAGAGAGAAAACUAAGAGAGAAAGAUUGGUUGGGAUGGUUGAAAUGAGAAAUGGUUAGGCCUAUUUGAGGUUCAGGGACUAACUUGCAAAUGGCCUAAAAAAUUAGGGACCAAAAUUGCAAUUAUCCCAUUCAACUUUAAACAACUUGCCUAUCACUUUUUUCUUUCGGUGCCACUUGCACCUCCCAUUUUUGACUUUUCAACAAUCUCCACCUUGAAGAUUUGAUUAGGAUAAUCACAUCUUCACACACUUCCUUCAACUCCCCAAAUUAGAUAAAGCUAUCUUUUGUAGCGCCUCCAAAUGCGCUCUCGAGCGCCAUACACCUAAAGGUGCUCAAAUUCUCAGGAUGUUAAUCAAGUUCAAACAAUGAUUAAACUUGAUUGUUGUUACCACCUUGGUCAUCAUAUCUGCGGGAUUAUCUGCUGUCGGAAUCUUCUGAAGUAGAAUUUUUCCUUUUUCAAAGACUUCCCGCACAAAGUGAUAUCAAACAAUUUUACACCAUAAAUAAUUUUGACCUGUCACCAGUAUACACACAGGUCAAAUUAAUACAAAUACAUAAGAGCUCAAAAAUAACACUAAAAACAAACAAUUGUUGGAUUUAUUAGUAGAGAAUUGGAUUUUUAAUUCUAAUGAUUAAAUAUCAAACUCAAACAACUUCAAAUAUAUAUACAUAAAGGAUGUUAUGAAACACUCAUAAAAAUCAUCAAAAAUAAAUGAGACGGAGAUAAUUUACUGAAGGAUAAGAUGAAAUGGGUUUUAGAAUUAACAUUUAUUUUUCUUUGGCAUGCAACCUAAUGUUCAAGUCUUUUUACCCAUUAAUGAGUACUGCUAAAUCCCAACUUAUAAAUAUGUUAUGAUCUACCAACGGAUUUAAUUAAAUCCAACACCCCAAAUUAUGGGCUCAACUCUAAAUUCAAGAUUUGGCGUUGCAUGCGAAAUGUUAAGUCUUUUCCCGAUCCUUACUAUAUGAAAACAAUGGUUUACCACUUUGUUUAAGUCAAGUCAUUAUAAACACAAAAAUAAAGCAUUUGUGUUAGCUGGUUGAGAUAGAUUGAUGGGAAUAUGGAGUGAAAAUUAUGAUGACCACACAAUUUCAUGUUUAAUGUCCAUCAGAUAUGGCUUUCAUGUUUGCUGGCUGUGAAGGAGGAUUGUUUCUAUACAACUUAUUUAUACACAAAUUAGUACUUUCCAUACAUUAUUUUUAAAUUUGGACUAAGCCCGAUCACUACUGCAUCAAAAUAAUGUUGUACCACUAAUUUUAUUUUAGUCAAUUAAUAAAAAAAAUGGAAUAGUGGUGAUUUUUUUUAACUGAUUGAGAUAGAUUGAUGGCUCAAAGAUUAAAUUUUCUCAUAACUUUGAUGACUUUUCAAUGAACUUAAAGUGUACGGAAUCAAUAGAAAAUUAUGGAAUGAGAUAUUAUUGGACUUAGUCUUAGCCUUUUGGCACUGCAUGCAAAUGUCUAAAUCUUUUCUACCCCAUCAAAACAAUGUUUAGCAAUUGUUUCUUAGGUAGUUGAGAUGGAUUGAUGGGCACAAGUUGUGGAAAUUUUGAUGAUAAUGUUUAUAGUUUCCUCUUCUUAGUAAUUUCUUUGAAAGAAACAUAUUUAAAUUUUCACAUUAAUAUUUUUUUAGAUUUAAUUGAAUUUAUCAAAGACAAAUUAAUGAGACUAACGAGAUGUCUUAUAUUAUUAACAAUUUUUUAAUUCUUUGAAAAACUAAUUUGAAUUUCAAAAGUUUUUUUUUUCAAUUUCAAAAUGCUACAAAUCAAACAAAUCAGGAAUAAAAAUUUAAUUUCCAUCCUCCUCCUAUUAGGAAGGGAUAGAGAUAACGUGAAUAAAGAGAAUGGAUUGUAUGAAACUAUAAUUUCAUGUCAUCCUAACAAAUCACAUUUUUUUCUCCUAAUUUUCAACUUUUUCCUCUUGGAAAAAUUCAAAUCCAAUUAAAAAUGCUACAAAUCAGACAAAUUAGGAAUAAAAAUCUAAUUUGUCAUUCUCCACUUAUUAAAAAGAGACAAAAAUAACGUGAAAUUACAGUUUUAUAUCAUUCUUUCCCUUAAAUAAAUUCUUUUAAAUGUUUUACAAUGAUAAAAUUGUCCCUUGAAUAAACUCUUAUAAAUGUUUUACAAUAAGAGAAUUGAUUAUUUUUAUUAAUAUCACAUAUUUAUUUCUAAUGUUUUAGAUUGUUUGCCAAUACUAAAAACCACACCACACUAUAAAGAAUCAUUAUUUUCAUAUAUUUUAAUUUUUAUCAUAAUUUACUUUUGUCUACAUCCAAAGGGUUAAUUCCUUAAAUUAUGGACUAAAUUUUAAAUUGAUCUCUAUAUUUUAAAAAAUAAUUAAUUAAGUCCUCAAACAAUAAAUCACAUUCUAAUUUGAAAUUUUUAAUUUUGGACUAACAAAGAAAAUAUUAGUGUGAGAUAUUGUUGGCCUUUGGCUAACAUUGGAAAGCAUACUAGAUUUUAAGACAUAAUUUAUUUCAUUAAAUUUUAAUUAUUAUUUUUAUUUUUAUCAUAUAAUUAUCUAAUUCAAUCAUAUUUUUGAAAUUAAUAAAACUAUCACUGAAACAAUAAAUAAACUAGUAUAAAAAUAAGUGUCUAGCUGAACUAAAACCCGGACCAACAUGUCUAUCCUUUACACCCGAUCCUAAACCCCAACACGUGAUUGAUAAAAUAUAAAGCUAAUGUCUCUUUGGAAGAGCAAAGGGUGGGAGUAGCAGCAUCUGCGUCUCUUUACACAAUCGGUCCAAUGUCCAUCAAAAAAAGCUUUCAUCAGCAUCAAGCCAUCAAAUCUCCUCAGCUGUUAGGCUCAUUAUUAGGAUCACUGCCUAGAUUAUUCAUGUACCUCAAUGGUAACAUAAAAUUACAAGUACGGUAUGAUAGUGAACUUGGUAAAUAUAUAUAUAUAUAUAAAUCAACAACUAUCUGUUCAAAUUAGAAUGACAAAUGCUUACCAGCUACUUUUGAAGCAAGAAUUCUGAUGGAGUCACCUACAUCUUCUUCUAUUUCUUUUUCCACACUUUUUGAACUUGUCAACCCAUUUGUUUCCCAACUCAUUUAGCACUGUAUAUCCAAUACAUAGCCCAACGACUAAUCCACUAGCAUAACCUAUCAACGCAAUUUUCCAAGUAGACAGAGCAUAAAACCAUGAAUCUCCAUCUUCCCCUGGAGGUGGUGGCAUUGGAAGACCAACUUCAUUGCAUUUCUUGGACAAUGGUGGACCGCAUAAUUUUGGAUUCCCACGGUGAGAAUCAUUUGAAAAUGUACUGAAUUGGUUGCCUUGCGGUAUGCUCCCUUCAAGUGGGUUGUAAGACAAAUUCAAUGCCUCUAGGAAAGUUAGAGUUGUAAGCUGUGGAGGAAUCUUCCCUGAAAGUUUGUUUUGUGAGAGAUCCAAAGAUUCGAGGUCUUUUAGAUUGAAGUGCUAAUGGGAUUUCACCAGAGAAGCCAUUGUUGGAUAAGUUCAUCACUCUGAGUGACCUCAGCAUUUGUAUCUCUUCUGGUAUUCUCCCAUGGAAACUAUUGUUGGAAAGGUCAAGACAAGUAAGAACAGUUAAGAUUUUUGGUAAAAUAGUUCAACCCCCCUGUUAACAAUUGUCACAGAGUCUUUAUAAUAGACGUCCCCAAUGUAAACCCGCUUAGCCUUUUCAUCAUUAGUCAUCUUCGCCAUUGCCUUCAAACUCUGCAAAAAUUCAAUGGACAAGUCACCUGAAAAAUUGUUGGAAGCAAUGUCCAAUAUGCGUAGCUUUGGAAACCCACAUUCCGUGUCGAUUUUUGAAAUUGUGCCGUAGAAUCUGUUUGCUCGCAAAACGAGAACCUUCAAGGAAGGUAGCUUCUCUAACCAAAAUGGGAAUGUAUCAUGAACCAUAUUAUUUCCCAGGUCCAGAACCUCAAGUGCUGUGCAAUUGGCUAAUGAUCUCGACAGCUCCCCGUCCAAUUUAUUCCCAGCUAUUUUGAGUAACCCUAGUCGAGUGGGUUGAAGGAAAUCAAUGGAUAGUUCACCAGAAAACUGGUUUGAAGCAAUGUCCAAUACAUCCAAAGUUGGGAAAACAGAUUUAUGUUUGAAAUGUUUAAUUUGACCAUAAAAUCUAUUUUCCCGCAAUAUUAGAACCGUCAAGUAAGGCAAUUUCUCCAACCAAAAAGGGAAUGUAUCAUUCAUCUUGUUGUUUCCCACGUCCAAAACUUCAAGCUGAGUGCAUUCAGCUAAUGAUCUGGGCAACUUCCCUUCCAGUCUAUUCUCACUAAUUUUGAGAAUUUGUAGUUUGGUUGCUUUUGAAAAUUUUGGUAACAUUCCACUGAAGUUAUUUCCUUGCAGAUUCAAGAAAUAGCAUUCAUUUUGCCUAAGCAAUUUGGAAUUGGGCCACUCAAAUUGUUACAAGAUAGACCGAAACUGCCAAAUUGACUCAUAUUGCCCAAGCAAUUUGGAAUUGACCCACUCAAAUUGUUAGAAGAUGCAUAAAAACUGCCAAGUUGACUCAUAUUGCAUAACCAAUUUGGAAUUGGGCCACUCAAAUUGUUAUAAGAUGCGUCGAAAUAGAAAAAGCCUCGUGAAAAAGUUGAAAGGUCCAAAGAUGAGAGAUGGUUAUUAGCAAGAGACAGAUACCGCAAACUUUUUUUCCACACCCUGUUUGGUAUUGCACCACUUAUUUUAUUAUUUGAAAGGUCCAGAAAUUAUUUUUGACUCUUUAAGAACUCCGGAAACGCACUUAUGUUACAGGAUCCCAGAUACAAUCGCCUCAACAUUGGGAAAGAGAAGUUUGCAUCACUUAAGGGAAGUUGUUUUGGAAAAUCAAUCAUAUUGAAAGAAAGGUACACCUGUGAAAGAGUGCUCUUCCACAACCAAUUAGGCACAAUACCAUGGAUAUGGUUGUUAGAAAGUUCCAGAGAAAUCAACUUGUCUUUUGUUUUGAUGAAUUCUGGGAAUUCAGUAAGGUUGCAUGAACUUAGCCUUAGGCUUUCUAAUAGGGGAAAAGUAAGACUUAUGUUGUCACUUUCAAUUAAGAAGCUUAUAUUGUUUAGCGAGAGAGUCCUUAAGUUCUUGAGUUGGACACACAUGUCAAGCUUCAUGGAACUGAAGCUAUUACCUUCGAUAUAAAGCCAUUCAAGCCGUGGAAGUUGAAGGAUUGACUUUGGGAUUGGUCCUGUUAAAUAAUUAUUGCCUAUAUAUAGUACUUCAAUCAAAGAAGAAGAUGCAUUGGGGAACUCAUUAAUUUUCCCAACCAAUUGAUUGUCUCCAUGAUGCAGGAUCUUCAACGAUGGAAGAGUGAAUAAAGAAGAAUGUAUUGAUCCAAAAAGCUUGAUCCCAUCCAAAUUGUGAUUUACAAGAUUAGGAACUCCAAAUCUAUGAAACAAAGGGGUUAAACCACUGAAAUUAUUAUAUCUUAGAUUCAAGUUCACGAGGUGACUAAGAUUUGCAAUUGACGAUGGAAUGGGUCCAAAAAAGUUGCAAGAAGAAAGAUGUAAAUUUGUCAGGAACUUAACAUUACCAACCAAUUCAAGUAGUUUUCCACUGAAAUUUGUAAAAGAAAGCGACAAACUCUGUAAAGCAUUGUUUGCUGGAAAUUCUGGCAACUGACCCAUAAGUUGGCCAUUGCCUGAAAUGUCAAUGCUUUGAAUUUUUGGCAAUAAGAGAAUUCCGGUUGGAAAAUGCCCACGCAAAUUACAGUACCUCAAACUGAGAGAAACCAAACGAGAGGAAGUUUCCAAGAAAUUGGGAGGUAAAUAAGAGAUUGGGUUCCCACCAAGGAUAAGUUUGGAAAGAAAAGAGAGUCUUGAGAGAGAAGAACAUAAUGGACCUUUCAAACCACAGCUUGACAGACUCAACACAUGCAGGUUUGGAAGUACAAGAGAUGUGGUUUCACACCAUUUAGCACUUUGAGUUGAAAUGUCCACACUAUCCAAAUAAAGCGCUGUGAGAAACCUCAAAUUCUUGAUUAAUGUCUUGAAGUUUGGAUUCUCUAAUUUAAGAGGCUGUUGAGGUUUGUAAUAGUUGUAGAAGGCAGGGUACAGAACUUUGUAAUAUCUCAAAUAACAAGAAUCUUGAUUGGAUAGAUCAAGAGAGACUAACCUAUUUAAGAAUGAGAUCUCCACUGGAAUUUGGCCAUGGAAACAUGAGCUUGAAAGGUUGAGAUGAGUUAGAUUUUGGAGUUUAUCAAACCCAUAGGAAAACAGAGUGGUAUUAAAGUUGUUUCCAGCAAGAUUCAGGUGUUGAAGAUGAUGGAGAUCGAAUAUGGAGUGGAAGCUGCCUGAAAGGUUUUUGUAACUAAGAUCAAUGCCAACGACAUGACCAUAAGCAUCACAAGUGACUCCUUCCCAAGAACAACAAUCAGUGUUGACAUCCCAGAGGUCAAAAUUGGAAGAGAAAGUAAAAUUAGGGGCACAGUAAAGAUGACGCUGCAAUUGCAGCAGAGGAGCUCUCUGGUCAUCAAGGCAUUGCUGAGGGAGAUGAGUUUGAGGAGGUGAAAAAGACAAGACAAGAGAAAGGAAGCAUGAGAAGAGGAAGGGUGAAAUAAGGAAAUGAAGAGUGUUCAUGUUGGUUGGGUGUGAAGAAGGAUUGUGCUUGGCAUACAACUUAUUUAUACACAAAUGUGUAGUUUUCAUGUUUGGCAUAUAACUUAUUUAUUAUUAGUAUUAUUAUUAUUAUCCCAUGCUUGCAAAGGUUGACCAAAAAGACUUAACUAAAGUGGUGGAACAUUAUUUUGAUGCAGUAUUGAUUGGGCAAAAAGACUUCGAAAUUGCAUGCUAUGCCAAACAUGAAAACUACACAUUUGUGUAUAAAUAUUAGACAUAUUAGAGGGAUUGAAACUGAAAUUUAACAUUUUAUUGUAAAUUUUUUUUUUAAAAAAAAGAUAAAGGAAAGGAAAGGAAAUAAAUUAUAGAUUAAAUCUCAAAUUUAGGCAUAUUAAAGAAACUAAAUUUUAAAUUUUUUUGUAAAAUGUAAAAUUAAAAAAGAAAAGGAAAAAUGAUUGGGUAUGCGACAUGUAAAAAGAAAGAAGGUCGAAACCAAUUUUUAUAUAUAAGUAUAUAGAUUAUAUAUAAUUAUUCUUACAUAAUUUAAUUUUUUUAAUAAAAAUUACUAUUAAAAUCUUUUAAUUAAAUUUUGGUAUAACACCCAAAAGAAUUAAUUUAUAUACCAAACUAAUUUAUAAAUGAGUACUUUUAAGUCCUAAUUUAUGAAACAGUACCAAACUUAUAAAUAUGCUAUGACCUAUUGAAGGGUUUAAUUAAAUUUAACACCCCAAAUUAUAAGUUGCAUCAUUCUAAAUUUAUCUCUAAACUUCAAAAACUUUUAACUAAAUAAUAGUAAAAUAUAUUGUUGGUCUUAGUCUUAGUUUUAAUAUUUGGGAUUGCAAGCGAAUUUCUAAGUCUUAGUAUAAGAAUAGAAUGUUAUUAACCUUAGUCAUGAAAAUAAUGUUUCUACCACUUUUCUUAACUGAUUGAGAGACAUUGAUGGGUCAAAGACUAAAUUUUGUUGGUGACUUCUCAAUGAACUUGUCCAAGUGUAUCAAAUCAAUAGAAACACAAUGAAACUAAAUAAUGGUUUGGUUUGAGGAAAAUAUAAGCUAUUCUUAGUCUUUGCUUUCAUUUGCACAAUGUUUGGCACUUUUCUUAUCAUAUUUGAACUUCACUCCAUAUGUUUGCUUUCAAUUUAAAACCAUAUUUAUUAUGUGGAUUAAAUCAUAGUAUUGUUAUUCAAAUUUAAAAUAAAGAAAUUAUUUCUCAAGGUAUCUAGUUGGUAAGUAAAUAUUUGCAUUUUGUUAGCCCAUUUACAGAGUAGAUGCCAUAGUUUUAAAAGUUGCUUCACAAUUAAGCCGAGGAUCGAAUCCUCGACCACGGAUUAAGGUAAGAAAGACUCUUACCAUCUCAUCUAACUCUAGUUAUUAAAAUUAAAAUUAAUUUGAAUACCAUAAAUUCAAAUAUUAAUAUUUACAUCUAUUCCAAAUUCAUUAUACAUAAUAAUUAAAAUAUUCAAAUCUAAAUAUUAUCAAAAUUCGUACUCUGGUGAUUAAAAUAUUUGUAUCCUAUUAGUCAUAUUAAUUAUGAUAUUUUCGUCAUUUUGCUUCAUCUUUAUUCUAUUAUGAUAUUUUCAUACUAUUAAUCAUAUUUGAUGUUCGCGAUUUAUUGAUAUAAAAUUUUUAGACAUUAAAUGAUGUUAUUAUUCUAAAUAUAUGCAAGCUCGACUUUGAAGUCCAACCUAUUUUAAACAUCUUUCCUUGUUGAUUGUGGAGAAUGGACCGUGAUUGCAUUGAAAAUACCAUUGAAGAAUAAUAAUUAAAAUAAUCAUAUUUUAUACUAUAAAAUAUUUAUUAUUGAAUAUUUAUAAAUUAUAUAUAUUUUUCUCAUUAAAAUAUCAAUAUAAAUAUUUUUUAAUUAUAUAUUAAGAAUAUUAUUUAAAAUUAAAUUAAAUUAUUAAAAUUUAUUAAUAAAAUAAAAUUAUAAUAUUAAAAUUAAAAAUAUAUUAUUAAUAUAAUUAUAUUAAACUUGAUUCAAAUUAAUUUUGUAUAUAAAGAUAAAAAUAUUCAUAAAUAAGCUUUGUUCGAUAAAUUAAUUACGUUUUCCAAAAAGUCAAAUUAAUUUACAGAAAAAUGAUAUUAUUUAAAUUUCCAUACUAAAAUACUUUUAAAUUUAAUUAAAAUUAUCAAAGACGAAUGAAAUUCAUGAAAUUAAUUUAACAACUUUUCAAUUUUUCGAAAAAAUCAAUUUGAUUCUUCUUCUUUUUUCAAAAUUUAUCAAGCCAAUUGAAACACAAAAAAAUUUAAUAUUUUUAAUUUUUGACUGACAAAAAAAAUGAUACUAUGAGAUAUUUUUUAUAUUAUUAGACCUAAUCUUAAUCUUUGGCAUUCCAUGCAAAUGUCUAAAUCUUUUUGCCCCUUUACUACGGCAUUAAAACAAUGUUUAGCAAAUUUCUUAGGGAGAUGGAUUGAUGGAUAUAAGUAGUGGAAAUUUUGAUGAUACAAUUCUUCUCUUCUUAACAAUUUCUUUCAAAGAAACAUAUUUAAAUUUCCACACCGAAACUUCUUUAAUUUAAAGGAAUAAAUCUUAAAAUUAUAAACUAUGUGUUAAUGUGUAAUUGUAUACAUGAAUUUUGAUUUUAUGCAAUGUUAUACAUGAAAUUUUGAUUUGAUUCAAUUCUUGUAAUUUAUUAACACAAUUAUUGAUAUAACAACAUUUUAUGUCUAUAUAUUGUAUACAUAAAUAAUUAUAUUUAUCUAAUAUAAAAAUAAAUUGAUGUUUUUAUUUCAUUAAAUGUGUAUGAUUAAAUCAAAAUUAAAAUUUGAAUUAUACAUUUGAACCACAAUUAGAGUUCCACGUGUAUGAUUACACCAAACUAAAGUUCAUAUAUAUAAUUGCACAUUAAAUUAAAGUUUAUAUAUAAUUUUAAGUUUUAUCCCUAUUUGAAAUUAUCAAAGACAAAUGAGAUUAACGAGAUGUAUUAUAUUAUAAACAAAGUUCGAUUCUUUGAAAAAGUUAAGCUCCAAUUUCAGAAGUUUUUUUUUCCAAAGUUUAUCAAACGAAUUCAAACACUAUGAGAUUAAACAACAUAUAAUUUUUUAAAUCUAAAAUAUGGAUUUUUUUUCUUUUUUAAAUCUAAAGUCAGUUCCAAUUUUCUAGUGUUUUAGAUUGUUUACUAACACUAAAAAGCACACCACAUUGUAAGGCAUCAUUUCUUUCAUUGUAUUUUUUUUUUUUACGUAGACACCAAAAUUUCAUCGGGAUACAAAUCAGCACUUUGUGGUAAACUCAAUUUAACUCAAUUUUAAUUGUAGCAAAGCUUUUAACCGGGGGCUCUUUUUCCACCAUUUUUCUUCUAACACUUUCGGCUCCCAGCACUCUGGAGGCAUCCUCCAUCACUGAACAUUCUUCACUCACCUUCAUCAUUGCCACCACCAACCACAUCAGCAUCAGAAUCAACAUAAUCAUCUUCAUCUCAGUCACCUCUCUCACCUCUAACCCAUACCAACAUUUUUAGGGUACAAAAUUGUGCUCCAAGACACAAGCAUAGUGACACCUGAGAAUCAUCCAAUUCAUCUUCAUGUAUACGAUUUCUAUAUCAUUGCACAACGUUUAAAGAACUUCGAUCCUAAAAGGGAUACUUCUAAAUUCAACCUUGUUGAUCCACCUGUGAGGAACACCGUUGGAGUGCCUGUGAAUGGAUGGGCAACCAUCAGAUUCGUCGCUGAUAAUCCAGGUAAACACCCUUCUUCAUCAUUUCAAUUACUGUGAUUCCAUUACCAAUUUUUUACUUGUUAUUAGUAUUUUUCUUAAUCAUUUUCAUAGUAUUGUGGCAUACCAAUUCUUCCCUGCAUCUGGGAAACUAGUUUAAUGCUCUGUUUCAUUGGAUAAAUUUCCCUAAAAAGUAUGUGUACAUUGUAAUAAUAGUGUGAGAUAGUGUCGGCCUUUGGCUAACAUUGGAAAACAUACUAGAUUGUAACACAAAAAUUCUUUCAUUAUAUUUUAAUUAUUAUUAUCAUAUUAUUACAUACAAAGUUUAAUUGAAUGGUAAUUUUUAACGUAAUAAUAUUAUCAUUGAAAGGAUAAAUAGACUAAUAUAAAAACAAGUGUCAAGCUGCACUAAAACCCGGACCAACGGGUCCACCCUUUACACCCAGACCUAAAGCAUAAGACGUGAUUGAAAAAUGCUUGUAGUCAUAAGAAACUAAUUACCAUUUUCUUCAAAGAUAACGUACCUCCUGACUGGAUAUUCCAUGUCCUGUGCAUUGCUAAAUGAUACAUAAAAUUACAAUAGAAUCUGGAAAAUGAAUGUCAAUGCUACGAGUAGGAUAUGAUAGAGAAAUUUACUUUUCAACAACUAUAUAUAUCAACUACCUUUUCAAAUUAGAAAGACUAAUGCUUAAUUAGACUAAUGCUUAAUUACCAGCUAAUUUUGAAACAAGAAUUCUGAUGGAGUCACCUACACCUUACCUUAAACAUGAUAAUGCUGGCAAUUAUGGUGAACGUUGUGAACAUGACAUAGUAAACAGGACAUACAACAGUAGUAUGAAAAGUGUCUAAAGCAUGCAAAAUUGUAAGCUUUUAGUAGCAUCAAGAAUAAUAACAACUUAAAUUUAGAGUCAAUCAUCAUAUUAAAUCAAGAAUAUAAGUUGAAAGAAAUUAUUUUUUUAAAAAACACAUUUAUGCUUUUUUAUCCUAUAAGCAAUUUAAUAAUGAACAAAUUGAUCUCUCAACAAAAAUUACAAAAUAUUUCAAAAUAGUUUUUAAAAUUCAAAAUAUUUAUAAAAAAAUUAAAUUAUAUUUAUUUUUUCAAUUGUAAGAAUAUUUUUAUUAUUUUGUUUUGAAAAAGUUUUCAAAUGUAUAUAGUUUUAAAUUUAUGUGCUCUAACAUUGAAUUAGUUAUCCUAUAACAAGAUUUUAAUUUGACAUAUUUAAUUUUUUAAUUGAACUUGAAUAAUUUCACUCGAUUCAAUUUGACUCGAAUUUUAUUUCACUCGACUCAAUUCGAAAAAAUGUCAAAUCAAGUUAGGAUGAUAAAUAGGACUCAUUAGUUCAAUUAACUCAAAAAAUUUUCACUUGAUUCGAUUAAACACUCAUAAAAAUCAUCAAAAAUAAAUGAGACGGAGAUAAUUUGCUGAAGGAUAAGAUGAAAUGUGUUUUAGAAAUUAACAUUUUUUUUCUUUGGCAUGCAAGCUAAUGUUCAAGUCUUUUUACCCAAUAAUGAGUACUCCUAAAUCCAACUUAUAAAUAUGUUAUGAUCUACCAACGGGCUUAAUUAAAUCCAACACCCCAAAUUAUGGGCUCAACUCUAAAUUCAAGAUUUGGCAUUGCAUGCAAAUGUCUAAGUCUUUGCCCGAUCCUUACUAGAUGAAAACAAUGGUUUACCACUUUGUUUAAGUCAAGUCAUUAUAAACACAAAAAUAAAGCAUUUGUGUUAGCUGGUUGAGAUGGAUUGAUGAGUGAAAAUUAUGAUGACCACACAAUUUCUGCGAAACUUCGAUUGGUACAAAAUAAGUGCGAGGCUGUACCAAAACCCAACAUGUGUUUGAUAAAAUAAAAACCCAAUGUGUCAGCAAAAGGUGGGAGUAGCAGCAGCAGCUGUCUCUUUACACAAUCAGUACAAUGUCCAUCAGAUAUGGCUUUCAUGUUUGCUGGCUGUGAAGGAGGAUUGUUUCCAUACAACUUAUUUAUACACAAAUUAGUUCUUUCCAUACAUUAUUUUGAAUUUUGGACUAAGCCCGAUCACUACUGCAUCAAUGUUGUACCACUAACUUUAUUUUGGUCAAUUAAUAAAAAAAAAUGGAAUUGUGGUGAUUUUUUUUAGCUGAUUGAGAUAAAAUGAUGGCUCAAAGACUAAAUUUUCUCAUAACUUUGAUGACUUUUCAAUGAACUUAAAGUGUAUGGAAUCAAUAGAAAUUUAUGGAAUGAGAUAUUAUUGGACUUAGUCUUAGCCUUUUGGCACUGUAUGCAAAUGUCUAAAUCUUUUUUACCCCAUCAAAACAAUGUUUAGCAAGUUUCUUAUGUAGUUGAGAUGGAUUGAUGGGCACAAGUAGCGGAAAUUUUGAUGAUAAAAUGUUUACAAUUUUCCUCUUCUUAGCAAUUUCUUUGAAAGAAACAUAUUUAAAUUUUCACAAUAAAAUUUCUUUAGAUUUAAUUGAAAUUAUCAAAGAAAAAUGAGAUUGACAAGAUAUCUUAUAUUAUUAACAAUUUUUCGAUUCUUUCAAAAAAUUAAUUUCAAUUUCAAAAGUUUUUUGAAAUUAAUAGAACUAUCAUUGAAAGGAUAAACAAACUAGUAUAAAAAUAAGUGUCCGGCUGAACUAAAACUCAGACCAACAGGUCCACCCUUUACACCCGGUCCUAAAGCCCAACACGUGAUUGAUAAAAUAUAAAGCUAAUAUCUGUUUGGAAGAGCAAAGGAUGAGAGUAGCAGCAUCUGCGUCUCUUUACACAAUCCGUCCAAUGUCCAUCAGAUAUGGCUUCCAUCAACAUCAUGCCAUUAAAUCUCCUCAGCUGUACAAAUAUUCUGAAGAUAAAAUAAUUGAAGUAAAAGUAAAUUGCAUAUAAAAGAAAGCUUGGGCAGCCAUUUCCUUGUUUAUAAUAUCAUUAUUAGCAUGGAAAUUCAGUAGCAGUGAAACAUUGCAUCCCCCAAAUCCACAGGGACCUGGAUGCAAAAUGAAUAAACACUAAUAUAUACUCAUGGAAAACUACAAAAGGAAAAAAGUGCAUAUAAAGCAAAAUUACAAACCAGUGGAUUGAUCUUGUUAGGAUCAUUGCCUACAUUCUUCAUGAACCUCACAACUGUACAUUCCAUGUCCUGCUUCAAGUACCUCCUGCAUUGCUCAAUGGUAACAUCAAAUUACAAGUACGAUAUAAUAGUGAACUUGGUAAAGACAGCAAAAAAUGAGGUUAUAUAUAUAUAUAUAUAUAUCAACUAUCUGUUCAAAUUAGAAAGACAAAUGCUUACCAGCUAAUUUUGAAGAAAGAAUUCUGAUGGAGUCACCUAUAUCUUCUGCUAUUUCUUUUCCCACACUUUUUGAACUUGUCCACCCAUUUGUUUCCCAACUCAUUCAGCACUGUAUAUCCAAUACAUAGCCCAACGACUAAUCCACUAGCAUAACCUAUCAACGCAAUUUUCCAAGUAGACAGAGCAUAUAACCAUGAAUCUUCAUCUUCCCCUGGAGGUGGUGGCAUUGGAAGACCAACUUCAUUGCAUUUUCUUGACAAUGGCAGCCCACACAAUUUUGGGUUCCCACGGUAGGAAUCAUUUGUAAAUGUAAUGAAUUGGUUGCUUUGUGGUAUGCUCCCUUCAAGUUGGUUGUAUGACAAGUUCAAUGCUUCCAGGAAAGUUAGACUUGUAAGUUGUGGAGGAAUCUUCCCUGACAGCUUGUUUCUUGAGAGAUCCAAAGAUUCGAGGUCUUUUAGAUUUUGAAGUGCUAAUGGGAUUUCACUAGAGAAGCUAUUGUUGGAUAAGUUCAUCACUCUGAGUGACCUCAGCAUUUGUAUUUCUUCUGGUAUUCUCCCAUGGAAACUAUUGUUGGAAAGGUCAAGACAAGUAAGAAUUGCCAAGACUUUUUGGUAGAACAUUUCAAUCCCUUUGUUAACAAUUGUCACAGAGUCUUGAUAAUAAUUCUCUCCGAUAUAAUUCAGCUUAGCCUUUUCGUCAUUAGUCAUCUUCGCCAUUGCCUUCAAACUCUGCAAAAAUUCAAUGGACAAGUCACCUGAAAAAUUGUUGGAAGCAAUGUCCAAUAUACGUAGCUUUGGAAACCCACAUUCCGUGUCGAUUUUUGAAAUUGUACCGUAGAAUCUGUUUGCUCGCAAAACGAGAACCUUCAAGGAAGGUAGCUUCUCUAGCCAAAAUGGGAAUGUAUCAUGAACCAUAUUAUUUCCGAGGUCCAGAACCUCAAGUGCUGUGCAAUUGGCUAAUGAUCUCGACAGCUUCCCUUCCAAUUUAUUCCCACCUAUUUUGAGUGACCUUACUCUAGUGGGUUGAAGGAAAUCAAUGGAUAGUUCACCAGAAAACUGGUUUGAAGCAAUGUCCAAUACAUCCAAAGUUGGGAAAACAGAUUUAUGUUUGAAAUGUUUAAUUUGACCAUAAAACCUGUUUUCCCGCAAAAUGAGAACCUUUAGCGCAGGCAAUUUCUCCAACCAAAAAGGGAAUGUAUCAUUGAUCAUGUUGCUUCCUACAUCCAAAACCAUAAGUUGAGUGCAUUUUGCUAAUGAUCUGGGCAACUUCCCUUCCAAUCUAUUCUCACUAACUUUCAGAAAUUGCAGUUGGGUUGCUUUUGAAAAUUUUGGUAUCAUUCCACUGAAGUUAUUUCCUUGCAAACCCAACCAACUCAGAGCACUCAUAUUGCCCAAGCAAUUUGGAAUUGGGCCACUCAAAUUGUUAUAAGAUACAUCGAAACUGUAAAGUUGACUCAUAUUGCAUAACCAAUUUGGAAUUGGGCCACUCGAAUUGUUAUAAGAUGCAUCUAAACCGCUAAGCUGACUCAUAUUGCAUAACCAAUUUGGAAUUGGGCCACUCAAAUUGUUAUAAGAUGCAUCUAAACCGCUAAGCUGACUCAUAUUGCAUAACCAAUUUGGAAUUGGGCCACUCAAAUUGUUAGAAGAUGCGUCGAAUUCUUCUAAAUUUUCUUGACUCUUUAAGAACUCCGGAAAUGCACUUAUGUUACAAGAUUCCAGACGCAAUCGCCUCAACAUUGGGAAAGAGAAGUUUGCAUCACUUAAAGGAAGUUGUUUUGGAAAAUCAAUCACAUUGAAAGAAAGGUCUAAGGAUAAAAGACUGCUCUUCCACAACCAAUUAGGCACAACACCAUGGAUAUGGUUGCUAGAAAGAUCUAAGUCAACCAACUUGUCUUGUGUUUUGAUGAACUCUGGAAACGCACUUAUGUUACAGGAUGUCAAACGCAAGUCUUUCAACAUUGGAAAUGAAAAGUUUGCAUCAUUUAAGGGAAGCUGUUUUGGAAAAUCAAUCAUAUUGAAAGAAAGGUCUACCCAUGAAAGACUGCUCUUCCACAACCAAUUGGGCACAAAACCAUGGAUAUGGUUGUUAGAAAGAUCUAAGCCAACCAACUUGUCUUGCCUUUUAAUGAAUUCUGGAAAUUCAGUAAGGUUGCAUGACCAUAGCCUUAGUGUCUCUAAUUGGGGUAAAGUAAGACUUCUGUUGUCGCUUUCAAUUAACAAGCUUAUAUUGUUUAGCCAGAGAGUCCUUAAGUUGUUGAGUUGGACAAACAUGUCAAGCUUCAUGGAACUGAAGCUAUUGCUUUCAAUAUAAAGCCAUUCAAGCCUUGGAAGUUGAAGGAUUGACUUUGGGAUUGGUCCUGUUAAAUAAUUAUUGCCUAUAUAUAAUUCUUGAAUCAAAGAAGAAGAUGCAUUGGGGAACUCAUCAAUUUUCCCAACCAAGUGAUUUUCUCCAAGAUACAGGGUCUUUAAUGAUGGAAGAGUGAAUAAAGAAGAAUGUAUUGAUCCAGAAAGCAUGUUCCCUCCCAGAUAUAGGUUGACCAGGUGACUAAGAUUUGUAAUUGACGAUGGAAUAGGUCCAAAAAAAUUGCAAUAAGAAAGCUCUAAAUUUGUCAGGAACUUAAGAUUACCAAUCGAUUCAGGUAGUUUUCCACUGAAAUUUGUAUGAUAAAGUGACAGACUCAGUAAUGCAUUGUUUGCUGGAAAUUCUGGCAACUGACCCAUAAGUUGGUCAUUGCGUGAAAUGUCAAUGCUUUGAAUUUUUGGCAAUAAGAGAAUUCCGGUUGGAAAAUGCCCACGCAAAUUACAGUACCUCAAACUGAGAGAAACCAAACGAGAGGAAAUUUCCAAGAAAUUGGGAGGUAAAUAAGAGAUUGGGUUCCCAUCAAGGAUAAGUUUGGAAAGAAAAGAGAGUCUUGAGAGUGAAGAACAUAAUGGACCUUUCAAACCACAGCUUGACAGACUCAACACAUGCAGGUUUGGAAGUACAAGAGAUGUGGUUUCACACCAUUUAGUACUUUGAGUUGAAAUGUCGACACCAUCCAAAUAAAGCUCCGUGAGAAACUUCAAAUUCUUGAUAAAUGUCUUGAAGUUUGGUUUCUCCAAUUUUAAAGUAGCUGAAUUAUAAUCGUAACCAUUUCUCCAAUAGCAAUCAUCUUGAUAAGAUAGGUUCAGAGAGACUAACCUUGUUAAGAAUGAGAUCUUCAUUGGAAUUUGGCCAUGGAAACAUGAGCUUGAAAGGUUGAGAUGAGUUAGAUUUUGGAGUUUAUCAAACCCAUAGGAAAACAGAGUGGUAUUAAAGUUGUUUCCAGCAAGAUUAAGGUGUUGAAGAUGAUGGAGAUCUAAUAUGGAGUUGAAGCCGCCUGAAAGGUUUUUGUAACUAAGAUCAAUGCCAACAACAUGACCAUAAGCAUCACAAGUGACUCCUUCCCAAGAACAACAAUCAGUGUUGACAUCCCAGAGGUCGAAUUUGGAAGAGAAAGUAAAAUUAGGGGCAUAGUAAAGAUGAUGCUGCAGUUGCAGGAGAGGAGCUCUCUGGUCAUCAAGGCAUUGCUUAGGGAGAUGAGUUUGAGGAGGUGAAAAAGACAAGACAAGAGAAAGGAAGCAUGAGAAGAGAAAGAGUGAAAUAAGAAAAUGAAGAGUGUUCAUGUUUGUUGGGUGUGAAGAAGGAUUGUGCUUGGCAUGCAACUUAUUUAUACACAAAUGUGUAGUUUUCAUGUUUGGCAUAUAAAUAAUUUAUUAUUAGUAUUAUUAUUAUUAUCCCAUGCUGGAAAAGGUUGACCAAAAAGACAUAACUAAAGUGGUGGAACAUUAUUUUGAUGCAGUAUUGAUUGGGCAAAAAGACAUGGAAAUUGCAUGCUAUGCAUUUAUUAUUAGUAUUAGAAAUAAGUUGUUAAAUUCACUUAAUUUGCCUUGCGUCUUUUUUUUUUCUUUUUCUUUUUUUGUUAAUUUUAAUUUUGAAGAAUGAAAUUUUAAUAAGAAAACUAAAACCUUGGCAUUAAUAAGAAAAAUAAGAUGAAUAAAAUAUUAAAAUCUCAUUCUUCAAAAUUAAAAUUAACAAAAAAAAACCCAAGGCAAAUUAAGUGUAUAGAAUUUUCCACUUUUGAAAUAGACAUAUUUAAAUUUCAUCUUUAAAACUUUUCUAGAUUGUAUAUGGGUGAGAAAUUUGAAGAAAAUUUUUCAUUUCUACAUUAUUAUUUUAUUUUAAUAUUUUUUAUGUUUUAUAUUAUUAAAUAUUUUUAUAAUUCGAGUUUCAAAUUGAAUUUUACAAUUUAAAUAACUCGAAUACUUCAAACAAUAAAUUGAUGUACAUGCUCCUUUGGUCCCUGUUAAUUUUAAAAAUUAACAAAUUGAUCUCUCUCAACAAAAGUUUUCGAAAAACAAUAAUAAUAAUUUUUAAAAUCAAAAUAUUCAUAAAAUUUCAAACUUUAUACUAUGUAAAAACUAUAAUAAUUUUAAAUCAUAAUUGUUUUAAUUUGAAAUUUUUAAAAUCUUUAAUUUAGGACCAGAAAAAAUUGUAGCAUGAAACAUUAUAGACCUUUUAAGUCUUAAGUCUUUGGCAUUGCAUGCAAAUGUCCAAGUUUUUAUUGCACAAAAACAACGUUCAAUCAAUGUGUACAAGUCAAGUCACCUUAUAAAUUGAUGGACACAAUGAGUGGAAAUUUUGAUUAUAGAAUAUAUAGAAUUUUUCACUUUUGAAAGAAACAUAUUUAAAUUUCAUCUUUCAAACUUUCUUACAGGCGUGCGAAAUAUAAUUUUAUUUAAUUUUAAUAUUUUUAUGUUUUAAAUUAUUAAAAAUAUUUAUAAUUUGAGAUUCAAGUUAAAUUUUAUAAUUUAAAUAACUCGACUAAUUCAAACACAGAUUGAUAUAUAUACUCCUUUGAUUCUUGUCAAUUUUAAAAAUUAACAAAUUAAUCUUUCUCAACAAAAAUUACAAAAAAAUUAAAAUAAUUUUUAAAGUUAAAAUAUUCAUAAAAAUUCUAAAAUUUAUAUUAUAUAAAAACUAUAAUAAUUUUUAUUAUUAUUUCACUUUAAAACAGUUUUCAAAUAUUUAUGAUUUCAAAUAUUAAUUAUACUAUUACAAGAUUUUAGUUUGACAUGUUUAAUUUUUUAAUUUAAAUCAAACAAUUUAUAUAUUUUAAGUAUUGACCUUUUAGAAAAAAAUAUCCAUGUUACAAAUAUUUUAUCAUUAAAUUACUUGAAUUUUAUCAUUUUUAUGUUAUAUAUAAUUAUUUCUACAUCAUUUAAUUUUUUUAAAUAAAAAAAUUACAAUAUAAAUUUUUAACUAAAUUUUGUUAUAGCACCGAAAAUAUAAAAUUUAACUUAUAAUAUAAAAUCAAUUUGUUAAUGAAUAUCCAACUUGUAAAUAUGUAAUGAUUUAUCAAAUGGUUAAUUCACCUUACAUCUUAAAUGUAUACAUCGAAUUUUAAAUUGACCCCUAAUUUUAUAAUGUUUUAAUUAAGUUCUCAAAUUAUGAGUAACGUUUUAAUUUAAAAUUUUUAAAAUCUUUAAUUUUGGACCAGAACAAUUGAUAAUAUGAAAUAUUAUAGGCCUUUUAAGUCUUAAGUCUUUGGCAUUGCAUGCAAAUGUCCAAGUUUUUAUUGCACAAAGACAACGUUCAACCAAUGUGUACAAGUCAAGUCACCUUAUAGAUUGAUGGACUCAAUGAGUGGAAAUUUUGAUGAUAGAAUAUAUAGAAUUUUUCAUUUUUAAAAGAAUCAUAUUUAAAUUCUUUCAAACUUUCUUAGAGCGUGAGAAAUAUUUUCAUUUCUAUAUUAUUAUUUAAUUUUAAUAUUUUUUAUGUUUUAUAUUAUUAAAAAUAUUUAUAAUUCAAGAUUCGAGUUAAAUUUUAUAAUUUAAAUAACUCAAAUAAUUCAAAUAACAGAUUGAUAUAUAUACUCCUUUGAUUCUUGUCAAUUUUAAAAAUUAAUAAAUUAAUCUCUCUCAACAAAAAUUACAAAAAAAUUAAAAUAAUUUUUAAAAUCAAAAUAUUCUUAAAAAUUCUAAAAUUUAUAUUAUGUAUUUUUAAGGAAAUUUUGUUAUAGCACCAAAAAAAUUAAAAUUGAAAUUGUAAUAUAAAAUCAAUUUAUUAAUGAGUAUCAAACUUAUAAAUAUGUUAUGAUUUAUCAAAGGCUUAAUUCGCCUUACAUCUCAAAAUUAUACAUCAAAUUUUAAAUUAAGUUUCUAGAUUUCAUAAUGUUCUAAUUAAGUUCUUAAAUUAUAAAUAAUACUCUAAUUUGAAAUUCUUAAUAUCUUUAACUUUGGAUCGGGAAAAAUGAUAGUAUGAAAUAACUUAAGUCUUUGGCGUUGCAUGCAAGUGUCCAAAUGUCGAUUGCACAAAAACAACGUUCAACCAUUAUAUAGGCAAAAUUAUAGUAAAUUUGUUAGUUGAGAUGGAUUGAUGGAUACAAGGAGUGGAAAUUUUCUUAAAGUGUUUUUGGGGAAGUUUGGAGAAAGACUUUCAUUUUUACAUUAUUAUUUAAUUUUUAUUUAAUUUAAAUAUUUUUAUGUUUUAUAUUAUUAAAUAUAAAACAUAAAAUUAUUUAUAAGUCAAGUUUCGAAUUAAAUUUUACUAUUUGAAUAACUCGAAUAAUUUGAACAAUUCAUACAACAGAUUGGUACGCAUACUCAUUUGAUCCCUAUUAAUUUUGAAACUUAGAAACUUUAUCUCUCAACAAAAAUUCAAAAUAUUAAUAAAAAUUCCAAAAUUUAUAUUUAAAAAAAACUAUAAUAUUUUUUUAUUAUUUUUCUUUAAAGAAAAUCAAAUAUAUAUAGUUUGAAAUUUUUGUGCUCUAACAUGAAAUUAAUUAUAUUAUAACUAGAUUUUAAUUUGACAUGUUUAAUUUUUUAAAUUUAAAUCAAACAAUUUCACACGAUAAUGUUUUUUAUAUAGUCUAUAAUUUUGAGUAUAAACACAGGUCAAAUUAAUACAAAUACAUAAGAGCUCAAAAAUAACACUAAAAACAAACAAUUGUUGGAUUUAUUAGUAGAGAAUUGGAUUUUUAAUUCUAAUGAUUAAAUAUCAAACUCAAACAACUUCAAAUAUAUAUACAUAAAGGAUGUUAUGAAAAAUAAAAUUAACAAAUGAAAAAACAUAAGGAACAUUUCAGUAGCAACUUUUUACAUAGACAUCAAAUAAAGAAACACUCUUAAUUUUACUUUUGUUUGUCUCUCUUCUUCUUUUUUUACCUUUCUUGUAUGAAACUAAAUGCAAGAAAAGUAAAGAUUAGAAUCCAAAUACGAAUUUCAAACCUGUAGGGCUGAGUAUCUAGAUUCGAGACUAUAUUUAGUUCAGGAGAUGUAUAAUCAGGGAGUCUGCCACUGAGAACUUUUUCCCAUAUCUUUGGUUUUGUGAAGGAGGAAUAUUGUGCCUGAUAAAAUUAUAAUAAAUCCACAUAAUUCUGUUGUAAUCUCUGUCCCGCCUUAUGAAUAGGAUUGUAUAUAAAUCAAGUUUAAUCCGUCAGUUUAUUUUUUUUGGCCUAUUAGUGUUCACGUUUAUGCAUAUAAACUAAAUAAAUAUGUCUACGAUGUUCAUGAAAAUAGUCAAACAUUUCCAUAAGAAAGUUAGUCAAACUCAAAAAUAAAAAUAAAAUUUGUUGAUUUACACUCCCUACCUAUAUAAGUGGAGUAAGGAUGUAUAUAGAUAAAAACCUUACCUUAAACAUGAUAAUGCUGGCAAUAAUGGUGAACGUUGUGAACAUGACAUAGUAAACAGGACAUACAACAGUAGUAUUAAAAGUGUCUAAAGCAUGCAAAAUUGUAAGCUUUUAGUAGCAUCAAGAAUAAUAACAAUAACUUAAAUUUAGAGUCAAUCAUCAUAUUAAAUCAAGAAUACAAGGUUGAAAGAAAUUAUUUAAAAAAAAACACGUUUAUGCUUUUUUAUUCUAUAAGCAAUUUAAUAAUAAGCAAAUUGAUCUCUCAACAAAAAUUACAAAAUAAUUUUUAAAAUUCAAAAUAUUUAUAAAAAUUUCAAAUUUCAAAUUUCACUUCACUCAACUCAAUUCGAAAAAAUGUCAAAUCGAGUUAGGAUGAUAAAUAUGACUCAUCAGUUCAAUUAACUCAAAAAAUUUUCACUUGAUUUGAUCAAACACUCAUAAAAAUCAUCAAAAAUAAAUGAGACAGAGAUAAUUUGUUAAAGUAUAAGAUGAAAUGUGUUUUAGAAUUAACAUUUUUUUUCUUUGGCAUGCAAGCUAAUGUUCAAGUCUUUUUACCCAUUAAUAAAUCCUAAUUUAUUAAGUAGUAUCCAACUUAUAAAUAUGUUAUGAUCUAUCAACGGGUUUAAUUAAAUCCAACACCCCAAAUUAUGGGCUCAACUCUAAAUUCAAGAUUUGACAUUGCAUGCAAAUGUCUAAGUCUUUGCCCGAUCCUUGCUAUAUGAAAACAAUGGUUUACCCCUUUGUUUAAGUCAAGUCAUUAUAAGCACAAAAUAAAGCAUUUGUUUUAGCUGGUUGAGAUGGAUUGACGGGAAUAUGGAGUGGAAAUUAUGAUGACGACACAAUUUCUGCGAAACAGAUUAGUACAAAAUAAAUGCGAGGUUGUACUAAAACCCAACAUGUGUUUGCCCGAUCAAUACUGCAUGAGAUGGAUUGAUGGGCACCACUUAUGACUUAUGGGUGGAAAUUUUGAUGAUAAAAAGUGUGGGGUUCUUCUGAAAUUUACUUUGGGUUGAUUGAAAUUGAUGAUCACAGAUUAGUUGAAAUGUCUUACAAUAUUAGCCACUUUUCAAUCCUUUACACUUUCAAAGUUUGUCCAACCAAUUGAAAUGCAACAAGCAUAUAGUUUUUUAAGUCCAAAAUUAGAUUCUUUUUAUUGGUUUACAUAAUUAAUUUUCAUUUUCUCUUCAAUUAUUUAAAUCUAUUAUCUUUCUUUUAUUUUUUCAUGAACAAAGAUAAAAUCAUAAUUGGAUUAAGUCGGGUCAGGUCAUUCUAGAGCAAUAAUCAUAUAAUUUUUGAAGAAUUUUAUCCAAUGGUUGCAUAUAGCUAUACACGCCUAGAUGCCUUGAAAAUAUCAUUGCUUCCGGUCCAUCGACUACUCAGUUACCCUAUUUGAAUACAUGUGUCACCCUAAUCAUCCAAAGACAUUGAAUAAUUUCUUUAAUAAUUCGUAACACAGCUAAAUGGUGGAACUCAACUGAUCAUCUUGAAUCAAUUAGAUUGUAGUCAUAUUAUUCAUCUCAAGGACAAUCCAUUGAAAACCUAAUCUCUAAGUCAUUUGAAAUCCCUCCAAAGCUCCGCAAAGCUCGACAUUGAGUGUAUAACAACAUAAUGUAUUUAGAGACAAAGCUCAUAGAUUUAUUUUCUAAUUAGGAAAUUAUAUGUUUUUAGUGUAGGACUAAUAAAGAAACGAUAGUAUGCAUGGGUUUUUAUCAAAUGGAGUCUUUGACUUAGUCUUGGCAUGCAUACUUGCAAAUGACUCCUAUUGCCCAGUCAUUACUUAAUUAUGUUCUACUAAUUUCCAGGCCGGUUCUUAAUAUUUUUGGGCUUCAGGCAAACAAUAAAUUAGACUUUUUUUAAAAAAAAUUAUAUAAAAUGUAAUGCAAUAACAGCUGAACAUAUUUUGCGGCUUAGGUGAUGAAAUAUUUAUGGUGAAAAAUUAAAAAUCUUAUGCAUCUAAUUAAUUUAUUUUAGUCUGAAAUUUUUUUUCUUAUAUUAAAAACUGAAAAAAAUAAAUUUUUAAGCCCCUUCCACGAUUAUACUCUCAAAUAACCCGAUUGCCGGGGUUGCUAGUUUCCUUAAAAACCACAGAAAUAUAUUAAUCAAGUGAUAGAGACGCAGUGCAAUUUCAACACAAUUUGAAAAAGAUUGAACUUUUAAACUUUCUUGGUUUAAUUGAAAUCACUAAACUAAAUGAAAAAUGAAUUAGUGGAGAUGCCUUGGACGCUUUCUAAUUUCUUUCAAAAAAACUACUUCAAAAAUAUAUCUAUUUUUUCAAACUAAAUAAGAUUAAAGAGUUUGCUGACUGGCAACGGCGCCGUCGUUCACGUUGGCCCGGAAAAAUUAAAAAUUUUCCUUUUUUCUUUCCUCUCUCUAUUGGCCUCCCGAGCUUAGAUCUACCGAUCACCGUCCAAAAAAGUAAGAAAGUUUUGAUUUUUUUUCUUUUUUUUUUGUUUCUUAUAUAUAUAUAUAUAUAUUCAAAAUAAAUAAAUAAUGCCUACCGGCUAAAUUUGAAACAAGAAUUCUGAUGGGAGUCACCUACAUCUUCUUCUAUUUCUUUUCCCACACUUUUUGAACUUAUCAACCCAUUUGUUUCCCAACUCAUUCAGCAUUCUAUAUCCAGCUCAUUUAUUUUCCCUCAAACUUUUAUUCCCCUAAACUUUUUAUUUUUCCCCUAAACUUUUACUUCUCAUCCUUUACUCCCAAAUAAAAAAAUCAAAAUUAUCCAAAAAACCCCUUAAACAUAAAUAGUAAUACUUUUAUUUAUAUCUACUAUUUAUAUUAUUAAAUUAAAUUUCACAUUUUAUAUUAUUUAUAUUAUUGAAUUGUUUAGUCAUAUUGAAUAUUUAUAUUAAAUUUGAAUUAUUAAUGAUGCCAUAAAAUAUUCAUGUUAAAAUUUUAUAUUGGUAUCAAUUUCACAUUUUAUCUUUAAAAUAACUUUUAUUAAAAAAAAGCACAUUUUUACAUUUAAUAUUUUUUUAAUUCCAAAAUACAUAGUGACAAGAAUCUGAAGAUAAUUGAAACAACUAAGCAAGCAAAGAAGCUAACACAUAUAUAAAAGAUUAAAAUAUAAAUUAUGAGGUGAUGAAAGUUAAUAACAAAUUUGAUUAUGGUAGACAAAUUUUAUUACGGUGGGUGACAGUGGUUACAACUACUCAAAAUUAUUUUUAAAAAUUUGACUUGAAUGAAUUCCAUCACAUUUGACUUGAUUCCAGAAAAUUUCAAAUUAAAUUAAGAUGAUAAAAUAUGAUUCAUCAACUUGAUUAACUCGAAAUUUUUCCAUUCCAUUCGAUUCGAUUUCAUUCGAUCGAACACUCACCCCUAACUGCAUGAAAGUAAUGUUCAACCACUUUGUUUAAUUCAAGUCAUUAAAAUAUCAAGUAGUGGAAAUUUCUAAGUCUUUGAUAUGAAUGCAAAAUUCUAAGUCUUUAUAACUGCAUGCCAAUAAUAAUGAUGAUGAUGAUGUACCAAUUUGAUUAAGGAAGGUCAUUAAAAAAAAGAAAUAAUGGUAAUUUUUUAAUAAAAUAAUUUAUUAUUGAAUUUUUUAAGUAAAAUUUGGUAUAAGACCCAAAAAUGGUAUAAAAUUAUUCAUUGAACAUAUAUAAACAUUAUCGUUGAUAAAAAAAAUUUUAAUACUUUAUACUUAUAAAAAAAUGAUAACAUGAGAUAUUAUUGCCUUUAAUCUUAGUCGUUGGCAUUGCAUGCAGAUGCAAAUGUUAAAAGUCUUUUUGCCAUAUCAUUAAUGCAUGAAAACCUAUGUUGAACCACUUUGUUGAACUCUUAAUAUUCUUCUUAUUAAUGCCAGGUUUCAAUCUUCUUGUCGGCUCUUUAUUCUAUAUAAAUGAUUUUCUAAUUUUAAUUUUCUUAAAUUUUAAUCAUUAAAAAAAUAAAAUUAUAGCAAUAAUAAUGUCCUUUAAACCUUAUUAGAGCCAUGAUUACACGUAGAAUGAACAAAGAUAUUUUUGUUCUAACUUCACUUGAAAUAAUGGUUGAAGUUGUUGCCUACCCUAAUCAGCACCAAAAACAUGUCAUCUACCUAAUCAGUCACACCUUCUCCUAUACGCACAUUAAAACCAAUAUUAUUGAUUGUAAAGCAUUCCGUUGUCAAGAUUUAUGACCAUAGACCUAACCAUAAUACUCAAUAAAUUCGCCAACACCACCAUGACCAUGUUUCCUCAACAUUGGUGUUAGAGUCAAAACCAGAUUGGUUUCUGUUACACCGUCUCGAAAUUUCCCAGACAACAUGGACCAUAGGCUGCUGAAUUUUGAAAAUUGAAAUUUUGUAUUGAAUUUCACUUCUAAGUUUUGGUUUUACAAAAGUUUAGGAUAAUGUCAAUAAUUUUGCAUGCUUCGACCGCUACCGCCCACAAUCAGUGCUCCAUGGAUUAUAACAGGCUUUGCAUGCUUCAACCAUUACUACCUUUCUAGCCACAAUGAGAAGGCCAGCAUAUAUAAAAUUCAGCUCAAUUGAUGGCCUUUGGUCGAAAAUAGUUUAUGAUCAUACCAAUUAAAACGCAAUCAUAGGACAUAUAGUCUAUUAAAUCUAAAAUAUGGAUUUUUUUCCCUUUCUUUUUUCUUCAUGUGCUAAUUUUUAUUUCUUGUAAAUAUUUUAAAUAAGUAUUAAUUUCUAUAAAUUCGUUUAAAUGUUUCGUGAAUCAUUUGAAUAAACUACUAUAUUUAUAGUAAAAAUGAGGUUGCAAUUGCAAGAGAGGAGAUAUGUGAUCAUCAAAGCGUUGGCUUGGGAGAUGAGAUUGAGAAAGAGAGGAUGAGAAGAGAAAGAAGAAAGGAAGAAAAAGUGAAACAAGGGAAUGAAGAGUCUUCAUGUUGGUCAAACCUGGUCCAAGACCAUCCAGAAUGCCCCAUAGUUUUGAAUUAUGAGUUUUAUUGGUCUUGUUAAUCAUAUUAAUUUCAAUAUAUUCAUAGACUUAGUCUUAGCCUGUGGCAUUGCAUGCAAAUGCCUAAAUCUUUUUGCAUGAAAACAAUGUUUACCAAACCAAUUCCAAUUCUUUGAAAAAAUUAAUUCCAAUUCCAAAAGGUUUUUUUUAUUUUUUUAUUUCAAAAUUUACCAAACCAAUUGAAACCCAAUGAGAUUAAAGAAUAUAUAAUUAUUUAAAUCUAAAAUAUGAUUUUUUUAUUCGUACAAAACACGGCUAAUUUUAAAUUUUUGUGGUCUCCACAAAUGGCCAGCUACCUGCACAAGGACACUGGCAAAUAACCGCCUGCAGCAGUACAUUCCUCAGCACCAUUCCGCACAGCCAAGGCACCGCAGCUCUAUGAGGAGCACAUACUCCUCUCCAAGCUCCUGGAUCCAAUAAAAAUACAAAAGGAGGUUAGCACCGCCGCCGCCAGAUUUGCCCAUAUGUUAAGAGAAUUCAUCAAUGAAAUUCAUAAGCCCAAUAACAAGGGUGAUUCCAUUACCAUUUUUUUGUUAUUAGUAUUUUUCUUAGUAUUGUAGCAUACCAAUUCUUCCCUGCAUCUGGGAAACUAGUUUAAUCCUCUGUUUCAUUGGAUAAAUUUCCCUACAAAGUAUGUGUACAUUGUAAUGAUAAUGUGACACGUUGUUGGCCUUUACUAGACUGUAAGACAUAAUUUCUUUCAUUAUAUUUUAAUUAUUAUUAUCAUAUUACAUACAAAGUUUAAUUGUAGGGUAUUUUUUUAAAGUAAUAAAACUAUCAUUGAAAGAAUAAAUUGACUAAUCCCAAUACCAAUUUAGAAUAGGAUUAUUGUAUUUAAAGCAGAAGUUCACAGUUGAGUAAACUAAAUCCUAAGAUGAUAAGAUCCAACCAUCCGCGUAUGAUAUAAACUACAUGUAAGAGAACGUCGAGUGCAACAUAUCAGUUUUGGGAUUAACCUUUUCACCAUAUGCUUCUCCUUUUCUCAACUUUAUGCUGCCAAUCUGUGCUUUCUUCUCAGAUUGUUGGCCUGAAAAUUAGAAUAUGAAGCUUCUCAUUUCACUUGCAAUUAUCAUGUUUUUCAUAUGCAUAACAUGGCUAAUUUUUAUUUCUUGUAAAUAAAUAUUUCAUUUCCGUAAAUUCGUUUAAAUGUUUCAUAAUGGGAGAAUCAUUUGAAAAAGCUACCAUAUUUAUAGUGUUUUACAUUGUUUGUCAAUUCCAGAAAACGGACCAUAUUUUAAGAUAUCUAAUUUUUCAUUAUAUUUUACUUACUUAUUUUUAAAGUAAUAAAACUAUUAUUAAAAAAUAAAUAAAUUAUUUGUACAAAAUAAAUGUCAGAUUGCACUAAAACCCGGACCAAUAGAUUUACCCAUUACACCCGAGCCUAAAGCCCAACAUGUGUUUGAUAAUAUAAAACAAAGAAGACAAAACUUAUCAUACUUUGCGUGGUUUUCUACUUGAAAUGAUUCAUUGCCACCAAUUACAUGCAAUGACUUAAUGCUUAGAAGGACAGAGGUCAUUUCCCUGUGACAAAAUAAGAAACACAAGUCAAACCACCAAGAAUAUAACUUCUCAUAAGCAUGCAAAUAUAGGAAUAUUACAUAGGAAAAACAAAAUCACUGUGUCACCACUCCUGCUGCUUAAAUUAAGGAAUUGCAAUGUUGUAUGAUCCAAAAUUAGUUUGUAACAUCAAUCUUUUCAAAAUAUAAAGACUAUAGCUUCAAAAGGAUAUGUUUACCUGUUGACUUUAAUACAUGAAUUCCGACACAGUCACCAAGAUUUUCUUCUGUUUCUUUUCCCAUAUUUUUUGAACUUGUCAACCCAUUUGUUUCCCAACUCAUUCUGUUGUUCCAAUAGGGUCGGAAGCGUGUAAAUUAUUGUACUAAAAAAUCACACAAAGUUCAAUUCCCAGGGAAGAGAGGUGGAUCACAUGGAUCUCUUAAAUACCAAGUCUUUCCUUAGUCAGAAUAUCCCUUCUAUAGUAAUUUAAUAGCACAAUUAAAUACUACUAUUAUACCCUAAAAUAUUGAAAGAAAAAUAGGACAAGAAAGAACACAAGAGUUUUAACGAGGUUCGGUAAAUUAUACCUACGUCCUCGGGCACUAACACUAGAUGAUAACUUUACUAUCUCCAAAAUAUUACAAACAAAUAGAAUUCCUUAAGAAUUCUCAAAUGGGAGAAGAGAGAAAACUAAGAGAGAAAGAUUGGUUGGGAUGGUUGAAAUGAGAAAUGGUUAGGCCUAUUUGAGGUUCAGGGACUAACUUGCAAAUGGCCUAAAAAAUUAGGGACCAAAAUUGCAAUUAUCCCAUUCAACUUUAAACAACUUGCCUAUCACUUUUUUCUUUCGGUGCCACUUGCACCUCCCAUUUUUGACUUUUCAACAAUCUCCACCUUGAAGAUUUGAUUAGGAUAAUCACAUCUUCACACACUUCCUUCAACUCCCCAAAUUAGAUAAAGCUAUCUUUUGUAGCGCCUCCAAAUGCGCUCUCGAGCGCCAUACACCUAAAGGUGCUCAAAUUCUCAGGAUGUUAAUCAAGUUCAAACAAUGAUUAAACUUGAUUGUUGUUACCACCUUGGUCAUCAUAUCUGCGGGAUUAUCUGCUGUCGGAAUCUUCUGAAGUAGAAUUUUUCCUUUUUCAAAGACUUCCCGCACAAAGUGAUAUCUUACGUCGAUAUGCUUGGUUCUUGAAUGAUAGACUUGAUUUUUCGCUAAAUGAAUAGCGCUCUGACUGUCACAAUAUAAACUUAUGUGACUUUGAACAACUCCUAAGUCUUUCAACAAUCCAUUAAGCCAAAUAGCCUCCUUAACAGCUUCUGUAACUGCCAUAUAUUCUGCCUCUGUAGUAGACACAGCUACUGUAGACUGUAAGGUAGACUUCCAACUCACUGGGGCUUUCGCAAGAGUAAACAGAUACCCCAUAGUUGAACGACGUUUAUCUAAAUCACCAGCAAAGUCGGAAUCAACAUAUCCAACUACAAACUGACCAAGUGCUUCAUCCUGUUCAAAAAUUAAACCAACAUCUACGGUUUUUCGAAGAUACCGUAGAAUCCAUUUCACAGCUUGCCAAUGUCCUUUUCCAGGAUCAUGCAUAUACCUGCUCACAACUCCAACAGCUUGUGAAAUGUCAGGCCUCGUACACACCAUCGCAUACAUCAAACUCCCAACUGCAUUAGCAUAUGGGACUUUCGCCAUAUAUUCUCUUUCAUCUUCAGUCUUCGGAGAUAAUUGAGCACUAAGUUUCAAAUGAGAAGCAAGUGGGGUACUUACAUGUUUUGUGUUUUCAUUUACACCAAAACAUUGUAAUACCUUUUUCAGAUAUUGCUUCUGAUUUAAACAGAGCUUGCCUCUCGGUCUAUCUCUACUUAUCUCCAUACCGAGAAUCUUCUUGGCCUCACCUAGAUCUUUCAUCUCGAACUCUUGAUUCAACUGAGCCUUCAGCUUAUCUAUCUCAUUUUGGCUCUUCGAAGCGAUUAACAUAUCAUCAACAUACAAGAGUAGAUAAAUGAAAGAUCCGUCAUGCAGCUUCUGCAAAUAUACACAAUUGUCAUAUUUGCUUCUUGUGUACUUCUGCCUUCUCAUAAAGCUAUCAAAUCACUUGUACCACUGCCUCGGGGAUUGCUUCAAUCCAUAUAGCGAUUUGUUCAGCUUACAAACCCAAUUUCUACCACCAGCAUCUGUGUAUCCUUCGGGCUGAGUCAUAUAGAUCUCCUCUUCUAACUCACCAUGCAAGAAAGCCGUCUUAACAUCAAGUUGAGCUAGCUCCAAAUUCAACUGUGCUACCAAGGCCAACAAAAUUCUAAUGGAGGAAUGCUUCACAACAGGGGAAAAUACAUCAUUGUAGUCAAUUCCCUCCUUCUGAGCGUAGCCUUUAGCUACCAAUCUUGCCUUGUAGCGAAUAUCCUUCUUGCUAGGAGAUCCAUCUUUCUUUGCGAAUACCCACUUGCAUCCGAUUGCCCUUUUACCUUUCGGUAAUUGCGCCAGCUCCCAAGUAUUGUUCUUCCGGAGAGACUGCAUUUCUUCAUCCAUGGUGCUUUUCCAUUUAUCACUUUCUAAGCUUUGCAUUGCUUCUUAAUAAGUGAUAGGAAUAUCAUCAACAACGGGAAGGGCGUAGGCCACCAUAUCAGUAAAUCGAGCAGGUUUACGAAUUUCUCUCCGUGGCCUUGCAACUACAACUGGUUCUGGUGUACUUAGUGGUUCUUGGGUCAGAACCUCUUCAACCUCUAAUUCCUCCAUUAUGGCUGGAGAAUUAGACUUAUUAACUGGGCAAAUCCCCAUCUGCUCAAACUCCACCUGUUUUGGAGUACACUCCACCUGCUGUGGAGUAUUUCUCGUCUGAAUAUCUUUAUCUGCUACUUUUUUCAAUGUGGCAGAUUCAUCAAAGGUAACAUCUCUGCUACAGAUCAUUUUUUUUGUGCUUAAGCACCAAAGACGAAAUCCCUUCACUCCAGAAGUGAUUCCCAUAAAGAGAGCUUUCUUUGCCCUCGGAUCUAACUUUGACUCCUUCACAUAGUAAUAUGCAGUGGAUCUAAACACAUGUAAGGAAUCAUAAUCUGUAGCCGGUUUUCCAGACCAUACCUCCAUAGGAGUUUUUCUUUCUAAUGCAGAUGAUGGCAAACGAUUAACAAGAUGGCCAGCGUAUGUCACAGCCUCAGCCCAAAAUUGCUUGCCCAACCCAGCAUUGGACAACAUACAUCGAACUUUUUCCAGCAAUGUUCGAUUCAUACGCUCUGCCACUCCAUUCUGCUGUGGUGUAUCCCUAACUGUAAAGUGUCGAACAAUACCAUACUCUUGGCACACAUCGAAAAACGGAUCACUUCUAUAUUCCCCUCCAUUGUCUGUCCUAAGCCGCUUGAUUUUCUUGCCAAUCUGGUUUUCGAUCAUAGUUUUCCAUUUAAGAAAAACUCCAAGCACUUCAUCCUUAGUUUUCAUGGUAUACACCCAAACUCUUCUGGAAAAGGCAUCAACAAAAGUAACAAAGUAGUGUUUUCCUCCCAACGAAGGUGUUUUAGAAGGCCCCCACACAUCUGAGUGAACAUAUUCCAAAAUACCUUUUGUAUUAUGGAUCGCAGUGCCGAAUUUCACUCUCUUUUGCUUUCCCAGAACACAAUGCUCGCAAAAUUUUAAUUUGUAAGCCUUUGCACCUUUCAACAAUCCUUGCUUUGCCAGAAUUUGCAAGGAUUUUUCACUGGCAUGUCCCAACUUCAUAUGCCACAAUUGCAUUGAGUCCAAUUCUUUGUUACCGAAAGCUACAGCGACUGCUCCAAUAACUGUACUACCUUGGUAGUAAUACAAGUUAUUUUUCCUGAUGCCCUUCAAUAUCACAAGUGCGCCAGAUGUCACUUUCAAAAUCCCAUCUCUCAUAGUAACAACUGAACCAUUGGAUUCCAAGGCUCCCAAUGAGAUGAGAUUUUUCUUCAAACUGGGCACGUACCGAACAUCAGUCAGAACUCUGGUUAAUCCAUCUUGAUUCUUUAAUUGGAUUGAACCUAUCCCAAUAGUUUUACAGGUAUUGUCAUUGCCCAUAUAAACAACUCCUCCAUUUAGUUCUACUAAAUCAGAGAACCACUCCCGGUUAGGGGACAUAUGAAAGGUACAACCCGAAUCCAAUAUCCACUCAUCUGAAUGGAACGACGAUGAUGAUGCAACCAGUGAUAGUUCAGAGUCACUAGUAUCAUGCUUAGCAACACAAGCAUCUACAGCAGCUUUUCCCUUAUUCUUCAGCUUUGGACAAUUUUUCUUCCAGUGGCCUUUCUCAUGACAAAAGGCACAUUCAUCUUUCCCGAGUCUGGACUUUGACUUUGAUCUCUCCUUUUGAGUUUUCUUCCGAGUGUAUGAACGACCUCGGACUACUAAAGCUUCUGUAUCUCUGAUUGAGUUUUUCUUUUUGUCCUUCUUUCUCUGUUCAUAACUGUAUAAGGCCGCACAGACUUCGCUCAGAGAUAUAUCACUCCUGCCAUGAAGUAGAGUAGUUUCUAGGAACUCAAACUCCUCAGGAAGUGACCCCAACAGCAUCAAAGCCAAAUCUUCAUCUUUGAAUGUCUCAUCCAUAUUUAGCAAAUCAGUGACUAACUGAUUAAAUUUGGUGAUGUGAUCAUUCAUUGUGGUACUUGGGACAUAAGUGAAGCGAAACAGUCUUUUCUUCAAGUGGAGCUUAUUUUGACUGUUUUUCUUCAAAAAAUUUUCUUCAAGUGCCACCCACAACUUAUUUGCAGAAGUCUCCUUUGAAAAAGCAUACCUCUGCUCUCGAGAAAGGCAUGAUCGAAUUGUGCCACAUGCCAACCGAUUGAUCGCCUUCCAAUCUUUCUCCUGUACAUCAUCUGGUUUCUCUUCAUCAAUGGCAAUGUCUAGACCCUGCUGAAAAAGGGCAUCUAGAACCUCACUUUGCCACAUACCAAAAUGGCCCGUGCCAUCAAAGAUCUCCACGGCCAAUCUUGCAUUUGCAAUUGUCGGUCUUGUCCACAUGGACGAUGUUGAAGCUCCUACACCGACCGUUUUCUCCAUAAUCUUUCAAUAUACCUAAGGAAAUCUUUUCUGAUGUGGAAGAUCAGUUUAAACUGCAACCACAGAGCAUACUACGAUUAACCUUCGGCUCUUGAUACCACUUGUUGUUCCAAUAGGGUCGGAAGCGUGUAAAUUAUUGUACUAAAAAAUCACACAAAGUUCAAUUCCCAGGGAAGAGAGGUGGAUCACAUGGAUCUCUUAAAUACCAAGUCUUUCCUUAGUCAGAAUAUCCCUUCUAUAGUAAUUUAAUAGCACAAUUAAAUACUACUAUUAUACCCUCAAAUAUUGAAAAAAAAAUAGGACAAGAAAGAACACAAGAGUUUUAACGAGGUUCGGUAAAUUAUACCUACGUCCUCGGGCACUAACACUAGAUGAUAACUUUACUAUCUCCAAAAUAUUACAAACAAAUAGAAUUCCUUAUGAAUUCUCAAAUGGGAGAAGAGAGAAAACUAAGAGAGAAAGAUUGGUUAGGAUGGUUGAAAUGAGAAAUGGUUAGGCCUAUUUGAAGUUCAGGGACUAACUUGCAAAUGGCCUAAAAAAUUAGAGACCAAAAUUGUAAUUAUCCCAUUCAACUUUAAACAACUUGCCUAUCACUUUUUUCUUUCGGUGCCACUUGCACCUCCCAUUUUUGACUUUUCAACACAUUCAACACUGUAUAUCCGAUACAUAGCCCAGCGACCAAACCACUACCAUAACCUAUCAAAACAAUUUUCCAAGUUGACAUAGCAUAUAACCAUGACUGUUCCUAUUCCCCUGGAGGCGGUGGCACUGGAAGACCGUCUUCAUUGCAUUUCUUGGACAAUGGUUGACCGCAUAAUUUUGGAUUCCCACGAUAAGAAUCAUUUGAAAAUGUACUGAAUUGGUUGCCUUGCGGUAUGCUCCCUUCAAGUGGGUUGUAAGACAAGUUCAGUGCCUCUAGGAAAGUUAGAGUUGUAAGCUGUGGAGGAAUCUUCCCUGAUAGCUCAUUCUGUGAGAGAUCCAAAGACUCCAGAUCUUUUAGGUUUUGAACUGCUACUGGGAUUUCACCGGAGAAGCUAUUAUAGGACAAGUUUAGCACUUUGAGCGACUUCAGCAAUUGUAUUUCUUCUGGUAUUCUCCCAUGGAAAUUAUUGUUGGAAAGGUCAAGACAAGUAAGAGUGGUUAAGAUUUUAUCGUAAAACAGCUCAAUCCCUUUGUUGGAAAUUGUCACUAAAUCUUGAUAAUAAUUCUCUCCAAUGUAAUCCAGCUUAGCUUUGUCGUCAUUUGUUAACUGCAUCAUUACCUUCAAGCUUUGCAAAAAUUCAAUGGACAAGUCGCCUGAAAAUUUGUUGGAAGCAAUGUCCAAUAUACGUAGCUUUGGAAACCCACGUUCUGUGUUGAAUUUUGUAAUUGUACAGUAGAAUCUGUUUGCUCGUAAAAUGACAACCUUCAAGGAAUGCAGCUUCUCUAACCAAAAUGGGAAUGUAUCAUGAACCAUAUUAUUUUCAAGGUCCAAAACCUCAAGUGCUGUGCAAUUGGCUAAUGAUCUCGACAACUUCCCUUCUAAUUUAUUCCCACCUAUUUUGAGUGACCUUAGUCGAGUGGCUUGAAGGAAAUCAAUAGAUAGUUCACCAGAAAACUGGUUUGAAGCAAUGUCCAACACAUUCAAAGUUGGGAAAACAAAUCUAUGUUUAAUUUGACCAUAAAAUCUGUUUUCCCGCAAUAUUAGAACCGUCAAGUAAGGCAAUUUCUCCAACCAAAAAGGGAAUGUAUUAUUCAUCUUGUUGUUUUCCACGUCCAAAACUUAAAGCUGAGUGCCUUCAGCUAAUGAUCUGGGCAACUUCCCUUCCAAUCUAUUCUCACUAACUUUGAGAAUAUAUAAGUGGGUUGCUUUUGAAAAUUUUGGUAACAUUCCACUAAAGUUAUUUCCUUGCAGAUCCAACCAAUAGAGAUCAUUCAUUUUGCCUAAGCAAUUUGGAAUCGCGCCGCUCAAAUUGUUAUGAGAUGCAUUGAAAUGUCUAAGUUGACUCAAAUUGCAAAUAGGUCCAGUCAAGGAGGUUUGUGAAGAAGUUGAACUCUGAUUGGGUAGAAGUUGGUCCAAAGACGAGAGAUGGUUAUUUGCAAGAAACAGAUGCCGCAAACUUUUCUUCCACACCCAUUUUGGUAUUGCACCACUUAUUUUAUUAUUUGAAAGGUCGAGAAAUACUAAAUUUUCUAGACUCUUUAAGAACUCUAGAAACGCACUUAUGUUACAGGGUCUCAAAUCCAAAUCUCUCAACAUUGGAAAUGAGAAGUUUGCAUCAUUUAAGGGAAGCUGUUUUGGAAAAUCAAUCAUAUUGAAAGAAAGCUCUAACCUUGAAAGACUGCUCUUCCACAACCAAUUAGGCACAACACCACGGAUAUGAUUGUUAGAAAGAUCUAAGUCAACCAACUUGUCUUGCCUUUUAAUGAAUUUUGGAAAUUCAGUAAGGUUGCAUGACCUUAGCAUUAGGCUCUCUAAUUGGGGAAAAGUAAGACUUCUGUUGUCGCUUUCAAUUAACAAGCUUACGUUGGAUAAGUGGAGACCCUUUAAGUUCUUAAGUUGGACAAACAUGUCUAGCUUCAUGGAACUGAAGCUAUUGCCUCCGAUAUAAAGUCGUUCAAGACUUGGAAGUUGAAGAAUUGACUUGGGGAUUAGUCCUGUUAAAUAAUUAUUGCCAAUAUAUAAUCUCUCAAUCGAAGAAGAAGAUGCAUUGGGGAACUCAUCAGUUUUCCCAACCAAUUGAUUUUCUCCAAGAUACAAGGUCUUUAAUAAUGGAAGAGUGAAUAAAGAAGAAUGUAUUGAUCCAGAAAGCAUGUUCCCUCCCAGAUGUAGGUUGACCAGGUGACUAAGAUUUGCAAUUGACGAUGGAAUGGGUCCAAAAAAAUUACAAUCAUCAAGAUCUAAAUAUGUCAAGAACUUGAGAUUACUAAUUGAUUGGGGUAGUUUUCCACUGAAAUUUGUAUAAAAAAGCGACAAACUCUGUAAAGCAUUGUUUGCUGGAAAUUCUGGCAACUGACCAUUAAGAAAGUCAUUAUCUGAAAUGUCAAUGCUUUGCAUUUUUGGCGAUAAGAGAUUUUCAGUUGGAAAAUGGCCACUCAAAUUGCAGUUCCUCAAACUGAGAGAAACCAAACGAGAGGAAAUUUCCAAGAAAUUGGGAGGUAAAUAAGAGAUUGGGUUCCCAUCAAGGAUAAGUUUGGAAAGAAACGAGAGUCUUGAGAGUGAAGAACAUAAUGGACCUUUCAAACCACAGCUUGACAGACUCAACACAUGCAGGUUUGGAAGUACAAGAGAUGUGGUUUCACACCAUUUAGUACUUUGAGUUGAAAUGUCGACACCAUCCAAAUAAAGCUCCGUGAGAAACUUCAAAUUCUUGAUAAAUGUCUUGAAGUUUGGUUUCUCCAAUUUUAAAGUAGCUGAAUUAUAAUCGUAACCAUUUCUCCAAUAGCAAUCAUCUUGAUAAGAUAGGUUCAGAGAGACUAACCUUGUUAAGAAUGAGAUCUUCAUUGGAAUUUGGCCAUGGAAACAUGAGCUUGAAAGGUUGAGAUGAGUUAGAUUUUGGAGUUUAUCAAACCCAUAGGAAAACAGAGUGGUAUUAAAGUUGUUUCCAGCAAGAUUCAGGUGUUGAAGAUGAUGGAGAUCGAAUAUGGAGUUGAAGCCGCCUGAAAGGUUUUUGUAACUAAGAUCAGUGCCAACAACAUGACCAUAAGCAUCACAAGUGACUCCUUCCCAAGAACAACAAUCAGUGUUGACAUCCCAGAGGUCGAAUUUGGAAGAGAAAGUAAAAUUAGGGGCAUAGUAAAGAUGAUGCUGCAAUUGCAGGAGAGGAGCUCUCUGGUCAUCAAGGCAUUGCUUAGGGAGAUGAGUUUGAGGAG
rnacentral:lncRNA from 1 species